AGAGAUCUAAUGAUUCAAGCUCUGACAAAUUACCUAAAGAUGAUGGGAUAGGACCUACUAAACAGUUAUGGGAGAGGUUUAGGACAAUAAGUAAAUGAAGCUCACCAAGUAUUUUUGGAAUUUCUCCCCUGAAUUGGUUACUAGAAAGGUCAAUCUGCAUCCAAAUGGAUAAUAGUGAUUCAAACUUCAUUUCCAGUCCUUUUGCUGUAACAGAUAAACCAUAAGCAUAAUUCACCCAAAAUAAAUGUGCAUCUUUCAUGAUCUUUACUUCUCUCAUGUAAUUUGGUUCAACUUUCUUUCCAUACUCAUCUCUAAUGGCAUGCAUAUGCUCAAAAAAAAGAGUAGGUAAGUAGCCACUGAAAUUAUUGUGAGAAAGAUCAAUGAUUCGCAAUUUAGUUAAAGAAACUGUAAUAUCAAAGCUCUCUAUUUGGCCGUAAAAUCUAUUCGACCUCAAGAUAAGAACUUGCAGCUGAUCCAAAUUUCCUAACCAACUUGGGAAAGUGUCAUUCAAAUUGUUGUUUCCAACAUCGAGAAGAUUUAAAGCUUUGCAAUUACCCAACGAUCGUGGUAGUGACCCUCCUAAUUCAUUGUUGUUGAUGUGUAAACUUCUCAACAUGCAACCUUUAGCAAAAUUUUCUGGUAUUUGACCAUGAAAAUUAUUAUUCCCUAGAAAAACUGCUGUGAGAGAAGAACUCAAGUUUCCGAUGCACUUUGGAAUUGUUCCCUCCAAAUUAUUCUCAUGUAAAGCCAUAGCCCCAAGGGAAGUCAAAUUGCAUAUUGAAGAAGGGAUUUCUCCAAUUAAGUUAUUAGUUGAAACUGCAUAGAAUUGCAAUAAAGGUGGUGGUGUUGGAAUUCGACCUUAGAGAUAAAAUUGAAAAUGAGAUAGAAUUAGGAGUUUGAAGAUUCUUUGGAAUAAAAAUUAUAAAAUAGCUAUAUUUGAGAUAUGUACACUCAAUACAAAUAAUUGAUUAAUUUACUACACUACUUCUAACCAUUUUAAGAUGCAUCACAACAACUUUUAAGUUGUAAUCUAUUGGAGGAAACUACUACUAUCUUCUAGUGAAAAUUUUAUUUCCCUUACUUAAAAGUAAAAAGGGAUUGCAUAAAUGUAUAAAAAAUAGAAGGAAAAAUAUAUCAAACUAUACCUAAUAGUUUAUUAUAAAAGAGAUAACCAUUUAAUAUCUUACUUAUAUUUCAUUUUUUAGUGUUUAUUAUUAUUUUUUGUACUUUUAUGUAUAUUUUAUAAUUUAUUAUCGGGGUUCACGGUUGUUACUGUCAAGAAUAUCAUCUCUAAGACUUGAAUCUUGUUUUCCCCUUAAGAGAGUAAUAUGUUUUACCACUGCACCGAAUAUUUAUUGGUGUAGUAUUUAUUAUAACUACAAAUAAUUUUAAUUAUCUUUUUAUGAACCUCUAAGUUAGAGGUCAAAUAAAAAAGUAAAUUAAUUGAUGUAGUGUUUAAAUUUUUAUCAUUACAUGUAAAGUUUUAAUUAUUAGUUAUAAAUUUUUUCCUCACAAUUGAAAUUUAAAAACGACAUUUUAUGAAAAUUAAAGAUAACAUAAUUAAUAGAAAAUUGACAUUUUCUUUAGAGCCGGAAUCUAAGUAGUAGCAAUAUCUGUAACUGGUAUUUCAAAUGUACAUUUUAUGUUUAUAAUUUUUAUAAGAUUGGGAGUUAAUUGAGAUUGUAGCCUCAAAAUUAGUGUUAUAUAUGAAAGCCAUUUUUUAUGAGAAUACUUUUCUAUUUAACAAUGAUUGUCCAACAUGUUAUAAUUGAAACCUAUUAUGGAAUUCACUAUUACUAACUCGAAACUCGAGUAGGUUAAAGUUAUUGACCCACAAUCUAAGUAGACUCAAAGGAAUUUGGGUCGGGCUCCACUAAGUGGGCAUAUUAGAGUUCGCACAUCCAAUUCGUACGAAUUUGAGUAUUUUUUAUGAGAAUACUAAUCAAAUAGAAACUUGAGAAAAGAAUAGUAGCCUUUUUAUUCAUGUUUGGCAAAUUAAUAUACUUUGUUUCUCUCAUAAUAUAAAAUAUGUCCUGCGCAUAAAUUAAUUAAACAAAUAAAUAAUAAGGCAAAUCAAAAAGGUAAAUCUACGUCUAAAUUAUAAUUCAUAAUAUAAAUUAAUUAAUGUAAAUUUUAAAAUUUUUUAAAUCAUUAUUAUUAUCAAAUAAAUUCUCUUAAUAAAAUACUUUUAGUGAAAUUAGAAAUCUUACUUAUAAAUAAUAAUAAUAAUAAUAAGAAAUUUUGCUAUGAGCAAAUAGAAAAAUAGUCAAUAUUCUUAAUCAUUUUCAUUAAUUUAAGAGAUUUUGCAUGCUUAUUCUUUUAUGUAUAUAUAUAUCUAUUAUAGAUGUAGAUUAUAAAUUGUAGACAAAUAUUUUGGUUGGGUUAGCAAAGCUGAAAAAGUUGAGAAUAAUAAUUUGUUAAAUUUAUAAAUUUAAGGUGAAAAAUUAAAUCCUAAUAGUUAAAAUAUCUAUAUGUAAUUAAUGAAUAAGAAUUGCAAAGAAUGGCGUAAAAGAAAAAUAAAAUGAAAGAAUUUAAAAUAUAAUUUUUAAUUUUAUAUCACGUGUCGUAUUAUAAUUGAAACCUAUUAUGAAAUUCACUAUUACUACUUGAAAUUCGAGUAGGUUCAAGUUAUUGACCCACAACCCAAGUAGACUUAAAGGAAUUUGGGUCGGGCCACAAAGUGGGCAUAUUGGAGUUUGCACAUCCAAUUCGUAGGUAUGCUAGAGCUCGUGGGCCUAGCUUACAAGACAAGCUUGCACAUUGAGUUCACACGUCUUUAUAUGAUCGCAAGGAGAGGUGCUAAAGUCAAGCACGUGGUCCAUGAACAUGUGUUAAGUCUAGAACAAGAUACGUGUUAACAUGUAUGAAGCUUGUCUAAGACGUCAUUUCAGUGAGUGUGGUGCAGUGAGUUUGGUCAAACUUUCGAUUGACCAUUGUAGGCAAAAAGAGAAAACACUCAACAAUUUGGUGCAGUGAGUAUGGUCAAACUUUCGAUUGACAAUUUUUCAGCUUGUAACAAUCAAAAUAGCUCACCCAAAUGAAAAUUUCCCCAUCAAUGUUUUGUCAGGAUAAGUUGCUAGUAUUAUAUUGUUGCUAGUAUUAUACAAAACAAAAAGUCACAAAAGUGAGAGAAAACCUAGUCAUCAGCACACCAAAACUCAUUAAGUCGAUCAUAGUUGCUGGUAUUAUAUUGUAUCUUCUUACAUCGAGAGAUAAGGUGGGUGAGAAAAGGAGACAAAAGACGGUGAGCUUGGAUGGGACAUUAAGGGGGAAGAGAGGAAAAAAUGUCAUGUGUCUAACUAUUUCUAGUGUUUGAACCGUUUUGAGUCGUAUCUAUCUUUGAACUCAUACCGUCCUAAGCCUUAGAACAUUACAAGCUUAAAAGACCAAUGUAUUUCCUAUUCAAUAAUAUCAACUAUGGCUUAGCAACAACUAAAUCAAGACCUAAACAAUAAGGCAAAUCUAAAAGGUAGAAGGAAUAGCUAAUUAAAAGUAGUGUGUGAUUCAAAAGGUAGAUGGUGAACUUAGGAUGUGGAAUUCCAAUAAAUACCUAAACUUUUGGCAAUUCAAAUAGUUUCUUUAUAAAUAUUUGUAAAUAUUUGAGUCUUAUUUGUAUUAAGAAAUACAUUAUUUGAAAGAGCAUAAUAAUUUUAAGCGGUCUAAUAAUGAAAAUAUUAUAUUAAACUUUAGUAGAGUUUAAUUAUAUAUAUUAUAAGAAUACUCUUCGGUGUAUUUAUCCAUUUAAUUUUAUUUUUUUAUUUUGGUCCCUUGGAACGGUGCGUUUAGGGGGUAUGGGGAUAAUUUCCUAGGUCCCUGUCCAUUUUCACGCAUUUAAUUUUAGUCCUUUAUUCUGUUUUAUUGUUUAAUUUAUUUAUUUUAUUAUGAUUUAUACUUUUAAUUUCACUUAAAUUUCGAUUCACUCCCUUAUUUAUUUAAUUUCAGCCUUUCAUGAAUUUUAUUUAUUUAUUACUUCUUUAUUUUCAUAUACUUAAAAAUUGGAUUGUUUACAUUCUUUUAUUUGUGCAUUUUUUUGCUCAUUUAUUUUAUUUACUUAAAAAGAUUGCAUAAAUUUAAUAACAAAAAAGGAGAAUAAAAGAAAAAUGAAAUUAUACCUGUCAAUUUGUUACUGUCAAGAGAAAGCACUUGAAGAGAAGUCAAGUUUCCAAUAACAAGAGGAAUUUCACCUGAAACAUAUAAUUAAAUCAGUAAAUAUUUGUAAAUAUUUUCCUAGCAAACCCUUAAUUUAUUUGUUGAGCAUAUUAGUGUCUGUUUGAUUUACCUAUUUUUAAAUAUGCAAGUUUUGUUUAGUUUUAUAGUACUUGUGACAACCCAAAAAUAUUUUAAUUAUAAUACUCGAAUUUAUAGUUGAAAUGAUGAUGACAAUUAGAAGGAAUAAAAUAGUUCACGCUUAAUAGUUUUGCUCAAAUAUAGGAUACAUCAUCGAAGCUGAACAAAUAUAUAUAUUUUUAGAAACUUUUAUUAGUUAGCAGCGAUUAGCUAAUAUCAAACAACUGAUAGUAUUGCAUACAAUAUGUUUCCCUAAACUGUAUGCUAUUUAGCUCUCGCCACAAAUGAUCAAAAACACAUGUGCAUUUUAAUGUAAAAUUUAACUCUUUUCUUAUCACCAAAUAAAUUUACUUUCAGAGAAAUUACAAGUUUUAAUAAAAUAGUUGAAAUAAGUGAUUGUUUAUGACUAGGUGAAAAUUAGAUGAAAAAAACAUAUAAUUAAUAAUUUAUAUAUCUAUUUCUCUCAUACUAUGGACUAUGGUCGAGCAAAAAUUAAUAAAAAAAUCAAACGGAUAGAAAUAGCUUAGUUACAAGAUUGAUGUUAAUCCAAUAAAUUUUUAAAAAAAAACACAUUGUUUCCAAAAGGGUAAGAAAUAGGUCCAAAUUAUAAUUCAGAACAUAAAUUAAUUUAAUGUAAAAUUUAAAUAAAAUUUAAAAUUCCUUCAUUAUCAAAUAAAUUUUCUUAAUAAAAUACUUUUAGUGAAUUAAUUAGAAGUCUUACUUAUUAACAAUAAAAAAAAUAUUUAUCCUUGUGCCAGAAAAAAACACCGCAUAGAUCAUAAAAAGGAAAAACUAAAACAUCCAUAAAACCACUAAACACAAAAUUCAUAGUUGUAGAGGAGGAUUAGAUACAUUGGUCCCAUAAUAUGUCACUCAAAAUCUCAAAUUCAUCCAACAAAAAGAAAUCAUCACUUUAGUUAAUUAAAUCAAGAACAAAUAAAGUUAUGGAUGAACAAAUAUGGGAAGCAAAGAAAUGUGACGGAUCAAAAGGGACGAAUAAGCUAAUUUCUGCCAUAAGGUAGAUGGUGAACUUAGGAUGUGGAGUUCCAAUAAAUACCUAAACAUACCUAAACUUUUGGCCAUUCAAAUAGAUUAGACUAAUUUUUAAUUACUUAAAAAUAUUGCAUAAAUUUAAUAACAAAAAGGAGAAUAAAAGAAACAUGAAAUUAUACCUGUCAAUCUGUUAUUGAAAAGAUAAAGCAUCUGAAGAGAAGCCAAGUUUCCAAUAACAAGAGGAAUUUCACCUGAAAUGUAUAAUUAAAUCAGUAAAUAUUUGUAAAUAUUUUCCUAGCAAACCUUUAAUUUAUUUGUUGAGCAUAUUAGUGUCGGUUGAUUUACCUAUUUUAAUUAUGACAACCCAAAAAUAUUUUAAUUAUAAUACUUGAAUUUAUAGUUGAAAUGAUGAUGACAAUUAGAAGGAAUAAAAUAGUUCACGCUUAAUAGUUUUGCUCAAAUAUAGGAUACAUCAUCGAAGCUGAACAAAUAUAUAUAUUUUUAGAAACUUUUAUUAGUUAGCAGCGAUUAGCUAAUAUCAAACAACUGAUAGUAUUGCAUACAAUAUGUUUCCCUAAACUGUAUGCUAUUUAUCUCUCGCCACAAAUGAUCAAAAACACAUGUGCAUUUUAAGCCAAACAUUUAUAAUAGUGAUAAGAGCCGUAUUGAUACAAUUUUUUGCUAAGGAAUCAGCAAACACACACACAUAUCUGCACAUAUAGACACACAUAUAUCUGUACAUACAGACUACUAGGAAUCCAAAAAUGUCGCCAGACCCUAGAUAUAGUCUAGGUGAAAAGGGACUAAGGGGUUGAACAGUAAAGAAACCAGUAAGAACUCACAUGAUAAUGAGCUUGUUGUAACCAGAAUACAAAGAUUGGGGCAGAGUCAAGUUUCCAAUUUCUAUAGGCAUAAUUCCCUCCAAAGAGUUGUUACGCAAUAAUUAAUACUUGAACCCUUUACACUUGAAUAAGCUAUUUGAAAUUCUACUGAAAUUUGAUUAUGUGUGAAGCUUAAUUAUUGCAAUUUAGAAAUGUUAUCAAACAUCUAGAUAGUAGAUGACCUAUAAUGAGAUGAUUAGUUUUGAAACUAUUUUUUUAUUGGUGAAAAGAUAUAUAAGAUUUACACAUGUAAGGAGCCUGAAUAAGAAUUAUUAUGAAAAUAUAACUAAAUGAAGCUUGAAAAAUUCCUUGCUAUUAUAGGAAUCUGCCAUUCUAAAUCAUUGUUAUAUAAUAUCAACUGUUAUAAGAUAUGAUAUUAUACUUGUUAUGUUGUUAUUAGAAAGAUUUAUGAUCUCAAGAGUAGUCAAAUUGUUAAUAGCCGAAAGGCUUUCACCUAAAACAUAUAAUCAAAUUUGUCAAAAUAGCUUGAUGAUAGAACCCAUGCACUUUAUUUGUUUCUGUAAUUAGAGAGAGAAGUCAUGUACUCUGUUUCUCUUAUAUUAAACUUAUGGCUGAAAACAGUUUGAGAUUGUUUUCUCAAAAAUACUUACUUAUAUUCUUUGACUUAUCUUUAGAUUGUGUUUAUUGUUAUCCCCUUCUUCACUAAUACUCAUCAUCAUCAUCUUUCUUGAUAAGCCAAUCUCUAAGUUUUGAAAUAUAUAAAACAAACAACGGUGACCAUUAAUAUAUCGCCCAAAAUCUCAAAAUCAUUUAACACAAAGAAAAUCGAUUAAUUUAAGCUGAGAACAAACAACAAUUGAGGGUGAACCCAAAGACAAAUGAUGGAUGAAAAGCCAAGAUGAAGAAGCCAAUUUCUACCAUAAGGUUUUGUUUGGGUAUAAGGCAAAUCAUAAGGAGAGGAAUAACUGAAUUUAAUAAAUUUUAAUCAUUCUUCAGUAUCUUUAAAAUUUUCAUUCCAAGGAUGUAGGUGCAACAUCCCUUGAUUAUAAUGUAAAAUUUCAAAUUUCCAUAGGGAUACUUGCACCCAAAGAGUUGUUAUAGAAUGAUAAAAAUGUUAACUCAUUGCACUUGAUUAAACUAUUUGGAAUUCUACCCGAAAUCUUAUCGCCUCUCAACUUUAAGACUUGCAGUUUAGAUAGGUUAUCAAAUAUUUCUAACGGUAGAUGACCUACAACGAUAAUAUUAUUACCUAGUUUUGACAUUUCUAGUUUUGAGAAAUUGCUUAGCGUAGAUAGGGAUAACACCAGUGAAGUUGUUACUAUACAAAUACAAGCUUUUAAGUUUUAGAAAUUAUUGUUGCCAAAGUUGAAAUAUUCUAACUGAUGCAAACUAGUGUACUCAAUGGGUAAACAAACAUAGAAACUAUUGUUACAAAUGUUGAGUUUGGCAAGGAAAGAAGAUUUCCAGUUGAGAUGGUAUGGUGUUUGUGAAAUCCAUACCUAAUGCAUCAAGAGUUGUGAUGUUUGAAUUUAUAAGUAAAAGUAAUCUAUGAGAUUUUAGUGCUACAAGGUUGAUUUGAUUAACGGUGAAAUUAGGUAGGGGAUAAGGCUAUUCAGAGAGGAGGGAAAUAGUUGAGUGUAAUACUUAUAUAAUGUUCAAAAUUCUACAAAUACUUUGAUUCUAUGGAUUAAGGCAUAGAACCUGACCAUUUGAGAAAGAAUUAGCCACAAUUAUUGGGCUACAACCCGAAAACAGGGACAGCCUUAACAUACCCACAACUAAUGUUCAAUAUUAUAAAUACAAAAAAAAAAUAGUCGAAGUAUUAAAUAUAUAAUUGAUUGGAGAGAAGUCAAAAGCUAAUUAAUAAUAUAUAGGGAUUGCAUAAAUGUAACAACAAAAAGAAAAAAAAUGAUAUUAUACCUGAUAAGUUAUUAUAAGCAAGAUCAAUAACUUCGAGAGUGGUCAAGUUUCCAAUAGUUGAUGGGAUUUUACCUAAAAAUAUAAAGAAAUUGGUUAAAAUAGUUUAUAGUAUGCUAUUAUUUAUUUUAUAUUAUAUGUAUAUAUUGCAUGGAAAACAAAUAUAAAUACUUAUAAUAAAUAUAUAUUUGUUGUUAAAAUGAAAAUUACUAAGUUGUCUUUGUUUAGAAAUUUAAUAAAUAAUUUUUUUAAAAUUACUAAAUAUUAAAAAAGAAUAUGAAAAGAAUAAGGUAAAAAGAUUUAUCUGGUUCCUCUCGAUUUCGAAAUUGAAUAAAUUAGUCUCCUUAAAAAAAUUGAAACAAUUUAAUCUUUGUCUAUCUUGAAAGUUAGCAAUGAAGGAAAUUAAUCAUGACGUUAAUUUAUUUUGUCAAUUGUGUAUGAUUUUUUAUUAGUAUAAUAAUAAAUUUAACUCUCAAUGUUUACAUAUUUUGUUAACUUGAUCUUGAUUCUAAAAAAAUUCAAUAAAUUUUGGCUCAACAUUUACAAAAAUAUUGCUGGUUAAAUUUAUUAAAUCAUGACCAAAUUGAUAUAACAUGUACAUUAUGAAAAAUAUUAACGAUGUGAUUAAAUAUUUUUAAUUGCUUCCUUUCGAAAUUGAUAGAGAUUAAUUAGAUACAUUGGUCCCAUAAUAUGUCACUCAAAAUCUCAAAAUCAUCCAACAAAAAGACAUCAUCAUUUAUAUAUUCUAUUUUAAAGAAGUUAUUGGAAAGAAUAAUGUACUUGAGAGAAAUAAGAUUUCUAAAAAUAGAUGAAAAAACAUAUAAUUAAUAAUUUUUAUAUAUUCUAUUUUGAUGAAAAAAUAGUCUGUAUUUUUAAUUACUUAAAAAUAUUGCAUAAAUUUAAUAACAAAAUGGAGAAUAAAAGAAACAUGAAAUUAUGCCUCUCAAUUUGUUAUUGUUAAGAGAAAGUAUUUGGAGAGAAGUCAAGUUUCCAAUAACAAGAGGAAUUUCACUUGAAACAUAUAAUUAAAUCAAUAAAUAUAUAAUUAUUUUUAUUAAUUACUUUAAGAGUUUAAUAAGGCAAAUCUAAAAGGUAGAAGAAAUAGCUAAUUAGAAGUUGUGCGUGAUUCAAAAGGGUAUAAAGUAGGUCCAAAUUAAAAAUCAAAUCUUAAUAUAUUUUAAUGUAAAAUUUAACUCUUUUCUUAUCACCAAAUAAAUUUACUUUCAGAGAAAUUACAAGUUUUAAUAAAAUAGUUGAAAUAAGUGAUUGUUUAUGAGUAGGUGAAAAUUAGAUGAAAAAAACAUAUAAUUAAUAAUUUAUAUAUCUAUUUCUCUCAUACUAUGGACUAUGGCGGAGCAAAAAUUAAUAAAAAAAUCAAACGGAUAGAAAUAACUUAGUUACAAGCUUGAUGUUAAUUCAAUAAAUUUUUAAAAAAAAACACACACAUUGUUUUCCAAAGGAGAAUAACAAAAAAUAUUUAAAAAUAUUGCAUAAAUUUAAUAACAAAAAGGAGAAUAAAAGAAACAUGAAAUUAUACCUGUCAAUUUGUUAUAGGCAAGAUAAAGCUCUCGAAGAGAAGUCAAGUUUCCAAUAACAAGAGGAAUUUCACCUGAAACAUAUAAUUAAAUCAAUCAAAAUUUGCAAAUAUUUUCCUAGCAAACCCUUAAUUUAUUUGUUGAGCGUAUUAGUGUCUGUUUGAUUUACCUAUUUUUAAAUAUGCAAGUUUUGUUUAGUUUUAUAGUACUUGUGACAACCCAAAAAUAUUUUAAUUAUAAUACUCGAAUUUAUAGUUGAAAUGAUGAUGACAAUUAGAAGGAAUAAAAUAGUUCACGCUUAAUAGUUUUGCUCAAAUAUAGGAUACAUCAUCGAAGCUGAACAAAUAUAUAUAUUUUUAGAAACUUUUAUUAGUUAGCAGCGAUUAGCUAAUAUCAAACAACUGAUAGUAUUGCAUACAAUAUGUUUCCCUAAACUGUAUGCUAUUUAUCUCUCGCCACAAAUGAUCAAAAACACGUGAAUUUUAAGCCAAACAUUUAUAAUAGUGAUAAGAGCCGUAUUGAUACAAUUUUUUGCUAAGGAAUCAGCAAACACACACACAUAUCUGCACAUAUAGACACACAUAUAUCUGUACAUACAGACUACUAGGAAUCCAAAAAUGUCGCCAGACCCUAGAUAUAGUCUAGGUGAAAAGGGACUAAGGAGUUGAACAGUAAAGAAACUAGUAAGAACUCACAUGAUAAUGAGCUUGUUGUAACCAGAAUACAAAGAUUGGGGCAGAGUCAAGUUUCCAAUUUCUAUAGGCAUAAUUCCCUCCAAAGAGUUGUUAUGCAACGAUAAAUACUUCAACUCUUUACACUUGAAUAAGCUAUUUGAAAUUCUACUAAAAUUUGAUUAUGUGUGAAGCUUAAUAAUUGCAAUUUAGAAAUGUUAUCAAACAUCUAGAUAGUAGAUGACCUAUAAUGAGAUGAUUAGUUUUGAAACUAUUUUUUUAUUGGUGAAAAGAUAUAUAAGAUUUACACAUGUAAGGAGCCUGAAUAAGAAUUAUUAUGAAAAUAUAACUAAAUGAAGCUUGAAAAAUUCCUUGCUAUUAUAGGAAUCUGCCAUUCUAAAUCAUUGUUAUAUAAUAUCAACUGUUAUAAGAUAUGAUAUUAUACUUGUUAUGUUGUUAUUAGAAAGAUUUAUGAUCUCAAGAGUAGUCAAAUUGUUAAUAGCCGAAAGGCUUUCACCUAAAACAUAUAAUCAAAUUUGUCAAAAUAGCUUGAUGAUAGAACCCAUGCACUUUAUUUUUUUCUGUAAUUAGAGAGAGAAGUCAUGUACUCUGUUUCUCUUAAUUAUAUUAAACUUAUGGCUGAAAACAGUUUUAGAUUGUUUUCUCAAAAAUACUUACUUAUAUUCUUUGACUUAUCUUUAGAUUAUGUUUAUUGUUAUCCCCUUCUUCACUAAUACUCAUCAUCAUCAUCUUUCUUGAUAAGCCAAUCUCUAAGUUUUGAAAUAUAUAAAACAAACAACGGUGACCAUUAAUAUAUCACCCAAAAUCUCAAAAUCAUUUAACACAAAGAAAAUCAUUACUUUGAUUAAUUUUAGCAGAGAACAAACAAUAAUUGUGGGUGAACCCAAAGAAAAAUGAUGGAUCAAAAGCCAAGAUGAAGAAGCCAAUUUCUACCAUAAGGUUUUGUGUGUGUAUAAGGCAAAUCAUAAGGAAAGGAAUAACUGAAUUUAAUAAAUUUUAAUCAUUCUUCAAUAUCUUUAAAAUUUUCAUUCCAAGGAUGUAGGCACUAACAUCCCUUGAUUAUAAUGUAAAAUUUCCAAUUUCCAUAGGGAUACUUCCACCCAAAGAGUUGUUAUAGAAUGAUAAAAAUGUUAACUCUUUGCACUUGAUUAAACUAUUUGGAAUUCUACGUACCCGAAAUCUUAUCGCCUCUCAACUUUAAGACUUGCAAUUUAGAUAGGUUAUCAAAAAUUUCUAACGGUAGAUGACCUACAACGAUAAUAUUGUUACCUAGUUUUGACAUUUCUAGUUUUGAGAAAUUGCUUAGGGUAGAUAGGGAUAACACCAGUGAAGUUGUUACUAUACAAAUACAAGCUUUUAAGUUUUAGAAAUUAUUGUUGCCAAAGUUGAAAUAUUCUAACUGAUGCAAACUAGUGUACUCAAUGGGUAAACAAACAUAGAAACUAUUGUUACAAAUGUUGAGUUUGGCAAGGAAAGAAGAUUUCCAGUUGAGAUGGUAUGGUGUUUGUGAAAUCCAUACCUAAUGCAUCAAGAGUUGUGAUGUUUGAAUUUAUAAGUAAAAGUAAUCUAUGAGAUUUUAGUGCUACAAGGUUGAUUUGAUUAAAGGUGAAAUUAGGUAGGGGAUAAGGCUAUUCAGAGAGGAGGGAAAUAGUUGAGUGUAAUACUUAUAUAAUGUUCAAAAUUCUACAAAUACUUUGAUUCUAUGGAUUAAGGCAUAGAACCUGACCAUUUGAGAAAGAAUUAGCCACAAUUAUUGGGCUACAACCCCAAAACAGGGAACGCCUUAACAUACCCACAACUAAUGUUCAAUAUUCUAUAAAUACAAAAAAAAAAAAACUCCAAUCUUCUUUUAUAAGUAAAAGACGGUGAUAGUCUCCAAGAGAAAGAGACAAGUAAGGAGGGUGAAGGCAAAGUGGCAAACAAUACAUUCAUUACAUAUUUAUUUUUGCAUAUCUCGUUUUAUUUACUCUUACUAGACAUUUUUUUAUAUAUAUAAAUUAUUAAAUAUUAAAUUUCAUAUAUAUAAAAAAAAUCCACAUAUUACUUAUUUUAUUAAUACAUAAACAUUUUUGCUAUACACAUGAAUGAGUGUAUAAAAUGAAUGAUUAGUAGAGUUUAAUUAUAUAUAUAAAUAUUAUAUUUUAAUAUUUAAUAAAAUUACAUCUUUUAAUUCAAAAAGAUAUUUUAAUAAUCAUUUUUAUUAGUUUUCGAGUUCAGGAUUAUAUAUAUAAUAUAUAUGUUGAGCUAGAACUACUACAAAAAGUUGACAUUUUUUAAAAGUAUGAUAAUUUGAAUAGAAGUAACAUAUGCUAAUGUGGAGUAAUUGUUCCAUAUAAUCCUUUUUAUGAUGAAAUCAUUGCUUAAUUUACUUCAUAACUUCUUACAUUUAGACAUAAUAAUCAGGUUUUAAUCUUUUAAGGUAACUUUUAUUUUAUUUACUUAAAAAAUUGCAUAAAUUUAAUUAAAAAAAAAAGAGAAUAAAAGAAACAUGAAAUUAUACCUGUCAAUUUGUUAUGGCUAAGAUAAAGAAAUUGGAGAGAAGUCAAGUUUCCAAUAACAAUAGGAAUUUCACCUGAAACGUAUAAUUAAAUCAUCACUUUAGUUAAUUAAAGCAAGAACAAAUAAAGUUUUGGAUGAACAAAUAUGAGAAGCAAAGAAAAAUGAUGGAUCAAAAGUGACGAAUAAGCUAAUUUCUGCCAUAAGGUAGAUGAUGAACUUAGGAUGUGGAAUUCCAAUAAAUUCCUAAACAUACCUAAACUUUUGGCAAUUCAAAAUCAAAUUCUAGUGGUAAAAAUUAUGAAAUGAGUAAUUAUUAUUUUUACAGCAAAAAAUGUGAGUAUAUAAAGAAAAAUAAAAAUAAAAAUGUAGAGCAAUAUAAAAAGAAGUUUUAAGGUAAGUAGGUUUGUUAUUUUUAAGAAUAAUAGUAAAGCAGGACAUUUGGUUUUGCUUAUUUAAGAAGUUGGUUCAUGCAUAGGGAUGUCAUAUUACCCAUGUUUGCAUUUAAAUAUUUGUAUUAAGAAAUAUAUUAUUUGAAAGAGUUUAAUAAUUUUAAGCUGUCUAAUAAUAAAUAAAUUAGUCUAAGAAAAAAUAAUGCAUCUUAUACCAAUAUUCUUAUAUUUGUCUAAUUUCAAAGUAGUUAAAGGAUUAAAUGUGUAAUUACUUGUAUUUUUAAAACGACAGUUAUUUUUAUUUAUAUACUUUCGGAGAAAUUAGAAGUUUUAAUAAAAUAGUUGAAAUAAGUGAUUGUUUAUGACUAGGUGAAAAUUAGAUGAAAAAAACAUAUAAUUAAUAAUUUAUAUAUCUAUUUCUCUCAUACUAUGGACUAUGGUCGAGCAAAAAUUAAUAAAAAAAUCAAACGGAUAGAAAUAGCUUAGUUACAAGAUUGAUGUUAAUCCAAUAAAUUUUAAAAAAAAAACACAUUGUUUCCAAAAGGGUAAGAAAUAGGUCCAAAUUAUAAUUCAGAACAUAAAUUAAUUUAAUGUAAAAUUUAAAUAAAAUUUAAAAUUCUUUCAUUAUCAAAUAAAUUUUCUUAAUAAAAUACUUUUAGUGAAUUAAUUAGAAGUCUUACUUAUUAACAAUAAAAAAAAUAUUUAUCCUUGUGCCAGAAAAAAACACCGCAUAGAUCAUAAAAAGGAAAAACUAAAACAUCCAUAAAACCACUAAACACAAAAUUCAUAGUUGUAGAGGAGGAUUAGAUACAUUGGUCCCAUAAUAUGUCACUCAAAAUUUCAAAUUCAUCCAACAAAAAGAAAUCAUCACUUUAGUUAAUUAAAUCAAGAACAAAUAAAGUUAUGGAUGAACAAAUAUGGGAAGCAAAGAAAUGUGACGGAUCAAAAGGGACGAAUAAGCUAAUUUCUGCCAUAAGGUAGAUGGUGAACUUAGGAUGUGGAGUUCCAAUAAAUACCUAAACAUACCUAAACUUUUGGCCAUUCAAAUAGAUUAGACUAAUUUUUAAUUACUUAAAAAUAUUGCAUAAAUUUAAUAACAAAAUGGAGAAUAAAAGAAACAUGAAAUUAUACCUGUCAAUUUGUUAUUGUUAAGAUAAAGCUCUCGAAGAGAAGUCAAGUUUCCAAUAACAAGAGGAAUUUCACCUGAAACGUAUAAUUAAAUCGGUCAAAAUUAUGGAUCAAAAGGGACAAAUAAGCUAAUUUCUGCCAUAAGAUAAAUGGUAACUUAGGAUGUGGAGUUCCAAUAAAUACCUAAACUUUUGGCAAUUCAAAUAGAUUAUACUAAUUUUUAAUUACUUAAAAAUAUUGCAUAAAUUUAAUAACAAAUUAGAGAAUAAAAGAAACAUGAAAUUAUACCUGUCAAAUUGUUAUUGCUAAGAUAAAGAAAUUGGAGAGAAGUCAAGUUUCCAAUAACAAGAGGAAUUUCACCUGAAACGUAUAAUUAAAUCAUCACUUUAGUUAAUUAAAGCAAGAACAAAUAAAGUUUUGGAUGAACAAAUAUGAGAAGCAAAGAAAAAUGAUGGAUCAAAAGUGACGAAUAAGCUAAUUUCUGCCAUAAGGUAGAUGAUGAACUUAGGAUGUGGAAUUCCAAUAAAUUCCUAAACAUACCUAAACUUUUGGCCAUUCAAAAUCAAAUUCUAGUGGUUAAAAUUAUGAAAUGAGUAAUUAUUAUUUUUACAGCAAAAAAUGUGAGUAUAUAAAGAAAAAUAAAAAUAAAAAUGUAGAGCAAUAUAAAAAGAAGUUUUAAGGUAAGUAGGUUUGUUAUUUUUAAGAAUAAUAGUAAAGCAGGACAUUUGGUUUUGCUUAUAUAAGAAGUUGGUUCAUGCAUAGGGAUGUCAUAUUACCCAUGUUUGCAUUUAAAUAUUUGUAUUAAGAAAUAUUUUAUUUGAAAGAGUUUAAUAAUUUUAAGCUGUCUAAUAAUAAAUAAAUUAGUCUAAGAAAAAAUAAAGCAUCUCAAAAUAUAUGUCUUAUACCAAUAUUCUUAUAGUUGUCUAAUUUCAAAGUAGUUAAAGGAUUAAACGUGUAAUUAAUUGUAUUUUUAAAACGACAGUUAUUUUAUUUUCUAUAUUUGUUUAUUUUUUAUUUUUUUAAAUAUAUAUUUAAACUUUGCAAAAUGAAUGGAUAUAUUUGAACAUGAAACAUGAUACAAUAAUUUAGUGAGAAUGAAAUAAAAUAAUGGUGGAAAAAUGAUAUGAUGACAUUAAACGGAAAAUAAGCGAAUGAAUAAAUAAGUAAAUAAAGGAGAAUAAGAAGAUAAAGACCAAAAACAAUUGCUAUGCUAAUGAAUAAUAUCAAUAUUUCUAUGAUGAUAACAAAACAACGAUUAAACGAUUAAACAAUAGCUAAUUAGAAGUAGUGUGUGAUUCAAAAGGGUAUAAAGUAGGUCCAAAUUAAAAAUCAAAUCUUAAAAUAAUUUAAUGUAAGAAAUUAGAAGUUUUAAUAAAAUACUUGAAAUAACUGAUUGUUUAUGACUAGGUGAAAAUUUGAUGAAAAAACAUAUAAUUAAUAAUUUAUAUAUCUAUUUCUCUCAUACUAUGGACUAUGGUCGAGCAAAAAUUAAUAAAAAAAUCAAACGGAUAGAAAUAGCUUAGUUACAAGAUUGAUGUUAAUUCAAUAAAUUUUUUAAAAAAACACAUUGUUUCCAAAAGGGUAAGAAAUAGGUCCAAAUUAUAAUUCAGAACAUAAAUUAAUUUAAUGUAAAAUUUAAAUAAAAUUUAAAAUUUUUGUUAUUAUCAAAUAAUUUUUCUUAAUAAAAUACUUUUAGUGAAAUUAGAAGUCUCACUUAUAAAUGGUAAUUUUUAUUAACAAUAAAAAAAUAUUUAUCUUUGUGCCAGAAAAAAACACCGCAUAGAUCAUAAAAAGGAAAAACUAAAACAUCCAAAAGAAAAUAUAUGUAAAACACUAAACACAAAAUUCAUAGUUGUAGAGGAGGAUUAGAUACAUUGGUCCCAUAAUGAAGAAAUCAUCACUUCAUUUAAUUAAAGCAAGAACAAAUGAAGCUAUGGAUGAACAAAUAUGGGAACCAAACAAAAAUGAUGGAUCAAAAGGGGCCAAUAAGUUAAUCAAUCAUUUUUAUUAGUUUUCAAGUUGAGGUUUAUAUAUAUAAUAUAUAUGUCAAGUUAGAAAUACUACAAAAGGUUGACAAUUUUUAAAAGUAUGAUAAUUUGAAUAGAAGUAACAUAUGCUAAUGUGGAGUAAUUGUUCCAUAUAAUCCUUUUUAUGAUGAAAUCAUUGCUUAAUUUACUUCAUAACUUCUUACAUUUAGACAUAAUAAUGAGGUUUUAAUCUUUUAAGGCAACUUUUAUUUUAUUUACUUAAAAAAUUGCAUAAAUUUAAUAAAAAAAUGAGAAUAAAAGAAACAUGAAAUUAUACCUGUCAAUUUGUUAUUGAAAAGGUAAAGCUCUCGAAGAGAAGUCAAGUUUCCAAUAACAAGAGGAAUUUCGCCUGAAACGUAUAAUUAAAUCAGUCAAAAUUUGCAAAUAUUUUCCUAGCAAACCCUUAAUUUAUUUGUUGAGCAUAUUAGUGUAUGUUGAUUUACCUAUUUUUAAAUAUGCAAGUUUGGUUUAGUUUUAUAGUACUUAUGAGAACCCAAAAAUAUUUUAAUUAUAAUACUCGAAUUUAUAGUUGAAAUGAUGAUGGCAAUUAGAAGGAAUAAAAUAGUUCACGCUUAAUAGUUUUGCUCAAAUAUAGGAUACAUCAUCGAAGCUGAACAAAUAUAUAUAUUUUUAGAAACUUUUAUUAGUUAGCAGUGACUAGCUAAUGUCAAACAACUGAUAUAUCUGCACAUAUAAUUAGCAUUAAUCUUAUAAACUUUUAUUAGUUAGCAGUGACUAGCUAACUUAGAAACUUUUGUUGUAUAUUAUUAGUUUGCAUACAAUAUGUUUCCCUAAACUGUAUGCUAUUUAUCUCUCGCCACAAAUUAUCAAAAACACGUGCAUUUUAAGCCAAACAUUUAUAAUAGUGAUAAGAGCCGUAUUGAUACAAUUUUUUGCUAAGGAAUCAGCAAACACACACAUAUCUGCACAUAUAGACACUCAUAUAUCUGCACUUAUAGACUACUAGGAAACCAAAAAUGUCGCUAGACCCCAGAUAUACUCUAGGUGAAAAGGGACUAAGGAGUUGAACAGUAAAGAAACUAGUAAGAACUCACAUGAUAAUGAGCUUGUUGUAACCAGAAUACAAAGAUUGGGGCAGAGUCAAGUUUCCAAUUUCUAUAGACAUAAUUCCCUCCAAAGAGUUGUUAUGCAAUGAUAAAUACUUCAACUCUUUACACUUGAAUAAGCUAUUUGAAAUUCUACUAAAAUUUGAUUAUGUGUGAAGCUUAAUAAUUGCAAUUUAGAAAUGUUAUCAAACAUCUAGAUAGUAGAUGACCUAUAAUGAGAUGAUUAGUUUUGAAACUAUUUUUUUAUUGGUGAAAAGAUAUAUAAGAUUUAUACAUGUAAGGAACCUGAAUAAGAAUUAUUAUGAAAAUAUAACCAAAUAAAGCUUGAAAAAUUCCUAGCUAUUAUAGCCAAACAUAAACGGAGGGAGGAAGACGGUGAUAGUCUCCAAGAGAAAGAGACAAGCAAGGAGGGUGAAGGCAAAGUGGCAAACAAUACAUUCAUUACAUAUUUAUUGUUGCAUAUCUCAUUUUAUUUACUGUCACUAGACACUUUUUAUAUAUAUAAAUUAUUAAAUAUUAAAUUUCAUAUAUAAAAAAAAUCCACAUAUUACUUAUUUUAUUAAUACAUAAAAGUAAACCGUUUAGAUGAUUUCAAGUUAAAAAAACAAUAUAUUUUAGAUUUUAUGUGGAUUUUUUUAAGUUCAAUAUUCAAAUUAUUCAGAUUUUCAUCAUCAAAGUUGAAUAGUUUGUAAUUCAAAUUAUUGCUCUCUUUUUACUUGUACCAAUAUUUCCUAUAUUUUUCUUAUGUUAAAAUAGUCAAAGUAUUAAAUAUAUAAUUAAUUGGAGAGAAGUCAAAAGCUAAUUAAUAAUAUAUAGGGAUUGCAUAAAUGUAACAACAAAAACAAAAAAAAAAUCAAAGCUACUUCAUGGUUGUAUUUUGUGAGGCUGAGGAAGUUGAAAGAGUAAUAAUUUUAAGCUGUCUAAUGAAAAUAUUAAACUAAAACUUUAGUAGAGUUUAAUUAUAUAUAUUAUAUUUUAAUUUUUUAAUAAAAGUACAUAUUUUAAAUCAAAAAUAUUUUAAUCAAAUCAUCUGUAUUAGUUUUGAAGUUCAGGCUUAUAUAUAUAACAUAUAUAUUGAUUGAGUGUAUAACUUCAACUUCAAAAAGAUAUUUUAAUCAAUCAAUUUUAUUAGUUUUCGAGUUUAGGCUUAUAUAUAUAAUAUAUAUGUCGAGUUAGAAAUACUACAAAAGGUUGACAUUUUUUAAAAGUAUGAUAAUUUGAAUAGAAGUAACAUAUGCUAAUGUAGAGUAAUUGUUCCAUAUAAUCCUUUUUAUGAUGAAAUGAUUGCUUCAUAACUUCUUACACUUAGACGUAAUAAUGAGGUUUUAAUCUUUUAAGGUAACUUUUAUUUUAUUUACUUAAAAAAUUGCAUAAAUUUAAUAAAAAAAAGGAGAAUAAAAGAAACAUGAAAUUAUACCUGUCAAUUUGUUAUUGCUAAGAUGAAGAAAUUGGAGAGAAGUCAAGUUUUCAAUAACAAGAGGAAUUUCACCUGAAACGUAUAAUUAAAUCGGUCAAAAUUUGCAAAUAUUUUCCUACCAAACCCUUAAUUUAUUUGUUGAGCAUAUUAACGUUUGUUUCAUUUACCUAUUUUUAAAUAUGCAAGUUUAGUUUAGUCUUAUAGUACUUAUGAUAACCCAAAAAUAUUUUAAUUAUAAUACUCAAAUUAACAAUAAAAUUAAAAAAAAUAUUUAUCUUUGUGCUAGAAAAAAAACACCGCAUAGAUCAUAAAAAGGAAAAACUAAAACAUCCAAAAGAAUAUGUCAAACACUAAACACAAAAUUCAUAGUUGUAGAGGAGAAUUAGAUACAUUGGUCCCAUAAUAUGUCACUCAAAAUUUCAAAUUCAUCCAACAAAAAGAAAUCAUCACUUUAGUUAAUUAAAUCAAGAACAAAUAAAGUUAUGGAUGAACAAAUAUGGGAAGCAAAGAAAUGUGACGGAUCAAAAGGGACGAAUAAGCUAAUUUCUGCCAUAAGGUAGAUGGUGAACUUAGGAUGUGGAGUUCCAAUAAAUACCUAAACAUACCUAAACUUUUGGCCAUUCAAAUAGAUUAGACUAAUUUUUAAUUACUUAAAAAUAUUGCAUAAAUUUAAUAACAAAAUGGAGAAUAAAAGAAACAUGAAAUUAUACCUGUCAAUUUGUUAUUGUUAAGAUAAAGCUCUCGAAGAGAAGUCAAGUUUCCAAUAACAAGAGGAAUUUCACCUGAAACGUAUAAUUAAAUCGGUCAAAAUUAUGGAUCAAAAGGGACAAAUAAGCUAAUUUCUGCCAUAAGGUAAAUGGUAACUUAGGAUGUGGAGUUCCAAUAAAUACCUAAACUUUUGGCAAUUCAAAUAGAUUAUACUAAUUUUUAAUUACUUAAAAAUAUUGCAUAAAUUUAAUAACAAAAUAGAGAAUAAAAGAAACAUGAAAUUAUACCUGUCAAAUUGUUAUUGCUAAGAUAAAGAAAUUGGAGAGAAGUCAAGUUUCCAAUAACAAGAGGAAUUUCACCUGAAACGUAUAAUUAAAUCAUCACUUUAGUUAAUUAAAGCAAGAACAAAUAAAGUUUUGGAUGAACAAAUAUGAGAAGCAAAGAAAAAUGAUGGAUCAAAAGUGACGAAUAAGCUAAUUUCUGCCAUAAGGUAGAUGAUGAACUUAGGAUGUGGAAUUCCAAUAAAUUCCUAAACAUACCUAAACUUUUGGCAAUUCAAAAUCAAAUUCUAGUGGUAAAAAUUAUGAAAUGAGUAAUUAUUAUUUUUACAGCAAAAAAUGUGAGUAUAUAAAGAAAAAUAAAAAUAAAAAUGUAGAGCAAUAUAAAAAGAAGUUUUAAGGUAAGUAGGUUUGUUAUUUUUAAGAAUAUUAGUAAAGCAGGACAUUUGGUUUUGCUUAUAUAAGAAGUUGGUUCAUGCAUAGGGAUGUCAUGUUACCCAUGUUUGCAUUUAAAUAUUUGUAUUAAGAAAUAUAUUAUUUGAAAGAGUUUAAUAAUUUUAAGCUGUCUAAUAAUAAAUAAAUUAGUCUAAGAAAAAAUAAUGCAUCUUAUACCAAUAUUCUUAUAUUUGUCUAAUUUCAAAGUAGUUAAAGGAUUAAAUGUGUAAUUACUUGUAUUUUUAAAACGACAGUUAUUUUAUUUUCUAUAUUUGUUUAUUUUUUAUUUUUUUAAAUAUAUAUUUAAACUUUGCAAAAUGAAUGGAUAUAUUUGAACAUGAAACAUGAUACAAUAAUUUAGUGAGAAUGAAAUAAAAUAAUGGUGGAAAAAUGAUAUGAUGACAUUAAACGGAAAAUAAGCGAAUGAAUAAAUAAGUAAAUAAAGGAGAAUAAGAAGAUAAAGACCAAAAACAAUUGCUAUGCUAAUGAAUAAUAUCAAUAUUUCUAUGAUGAUAACAAAACAACGAUUAAACGAUAAUCAUGUUGUAGUUAUUAUCUUGGUAUUACAUUGAAUAAAUAAUAAUGACAAGAACAAAGAAUAAAAUAGAAUAAUAUGUGCAAAUGAAUAAUAUAGACAAAGAUAAAAUAUAUAAAUUUUAAAUACUAAAUAAAUGAUAUAGUAAAUAAAUAAGCAAAAUUAAUCGAAAUACAAAGUAAAUUGGAACUCAAGCAAAGUUUAAAACUCAUAUCGCAAAAUAAAUGAGGGAAAGGGACCACAAAUAUACAAAUAAAAUGAAAAUAAAUAUAAAUUUUAAAUAUAUAAAAAAUAAAUAAAAAAAGAAAUAACGAAUAAAUGACUAAAUAAAUAGAUAAGACAAAUAUAAAAAAAUAUUAAAUUUAAGUAUUUAAAAAUUAAAAGAAUGAUAAACAAAUAAAUAAAUAAAUUUAAGUAUUUGCAAUUCAAAUUGAUGAUAUUUUUCUUAUUCUUAUGUUUUUCUAAUUUCAAAGUACUUAAAGGAUUAAAUGUGUAAUUAAUAGUUUUUAAGCCAAAAGUAUUAUAGUAAAAAGUUAAAAGAUUGUAAAGUUAUUUAGUAAUAUAUAGCACGAUUCUGUUAUAAGUAUUAUAACAGUACCAACAAAAAGGAAAAUAAAGAUGAUAUUAUAUCUGUUAAGUUGUUAUAAAAAAGAAUGAUGAUCACGAGAGAAAUAAGGUUUCCAAUAACAGAUGAAAUUUCACUUAAAAUUAUUAAAAUUUACUAACAGAUCUUAAAAUCGUUAAAACUCAAUGCGGGUAGGUAUAAGUCUGAAACAUAUAAUAUCAACUAUGUACUCUGUAAUCAAAGUUAAUUAAGAGAAAUCAUAUACUCUAUUUCUUUCCUAUUCAAGAAUAUCAACACAUAAAUAAUAAGGAUAGAAAAAAAUAGGUAAUUACAAGUCUUGUGUGAUUCAAAAGCGUAUAAAGUAGGUCCUAAUUACAAAUCAAACCUUAAAUUAAUUUAAUGUAAAAUUUAACUCUUUUCUUAUCACCAAAUAAAUCUACUUUUAGUAAAUUAGGAGUUUUAAUAAAAUACUUGUAAUAAAAGAUUGUUUAUGACUAAGUGUUUUGUUUUCAACAUAUUUGGAAUUAACUUGCCUUAGAAAAACAGUCUCUAUUAUUUUUAAGAAUAUUAUAGAAGGGUAGAACUAUGAAAGCGGUUAGUAAAACAUGAGAUGCUAAAUAUAGACACAUGCCAUAAUAGGAAGGAAACUUACAAACAAACUCCUAAACCAAAUAAUUGGUUGAUGGCCGAAUUGUCAAGUAUGGGGUUGUGGAGGUGACUAUGAGUUUUGAUGUGUUCCUACCUGCUACUAAGGGUAAAUCAGGAACAGCAUUGAAAAUCUAACUAGAUUCCGUUUGGCACCAAUUACAUUGGUUGAUGACUCAAUUCACUUAAAUAAUAUAUAUAAACUCUAUGAGUAAGUUUGGUUUCGCUAGCACUGAACUUAGUGGUUAUUGUUUAAAGUCCCGCUUCACUACUUACAACAACUGUUGAUGGAAAUUAGAUAAAAAUGAAUGAAACAAUAACCAGGACUUGUUUACCUUUGAAAUAGUUGUCACCAAGAUCCAAAGUCUCGAGCAAAGUCAAAUUUCCAAUUUCUGUAGGUAUACUUCCCUCCAAGGAGUUGUUAAACAAUGAUAAAAACUUCAGCUCUUUGCACUUGAAUAAACUAUUUGGAAUUCUACCGGAAAUUUGAUUCCAAUCCAAGCUCAACCUUUCUAGUUUUGACAAAUUGCCUAGAGUAGAUGAGAGUUCUCCACUGAAGCUAUUGUUAUCAAAGUCCAAAUAUUUCAUCCGACGCAAAUUAGUUAACUCAAUGGGUAAAGUACCAUGGAAACUAUUUUGAUGAAUGUCAAGCGAAGCAAGGAAAGAUAGAUUUCCCAAUUGAGAAGAAAUAGUGCCUGUGAGAUCCAUGCUUGACAAAUUCAGAGCAGUGACUCUAUGGUGUCUAGAUCCACAUGUGACACCAAUCCAGCUACAAACGGAGGUAGAAGUAGACCAAUUGGUUGCCAAGAAAUUGUGAGGAUCAUGAGUUAUAUGAGAUUUUAGUGCUAAAAGAGCAGAUUGAUCAACGGUGAUGCUAGAAUAUUUUGCAGACAAAAUAACCCCAAAGGUUGCGAAUAGCAGCCCAAACAUAAACGGAGGGAGGAAGCUUGGUCUUGCCAUAAGGUUGGAUAUGGGUGUAAGGCGCAUCAUAAGGAGAGAAACAACCGAAUUUAAUACUUUUCUAAUGUUAGUUCAAUAUUCUUUAAAUACUUUUGAUUCUAGGGACCAUUGACUCAUAAUUUGAGUAAGAAAUACGUACAAUCUUGUGGGUCCAACCAUGUUAUAGGGAAAAAAUUUAAGAUGUAGAAAUUUUUUUAAAUAUUAUUAAAACUAUUAUCAAAUACUUAUUUGAUGCAAGUUCAAAUCGUGUGAUCUCAUUUUAUAUUCCAAUGACAAAUUGAAUAAUUAGUGAGUUUAAUUUUAAAUUUUUUUAUUUUUAAUUAAUACAAAAAAUCUCAACUCAAAUUUUAAAUUAAAAAUUAAAAGUACUUUGUAAAUUUAUAGUAAUUGUAAGUUUCAUUUCAUAAAUUACGUAAGCUAAAUUUAGCAAAAUCUUAUAUUUGAUUAAGAAAGUAGCAUGUUGUCUUACAUAAGCUAAAUUUAGAGUUGUUUGUGAUUUUAUACUCAACUAAAUAAUUAAUAUCUUAUCUUUUUGAGUGUAUAGAUUACAAAUGUUGUAGGAAUGUAUCCUUUGAGAUUGUUUGAUUCUAGUUUUUGACAAAUUGCUCAAAGUUGAUGGGAUAAAACAAGUGAGUUUGAUGGUGUUCGGAAACAAGCUUCGAUGUUUAGUGAGAUCAAAAUUUGUUGGCAAAUUAAAUUACUCAAUGGGUAAAUAUCCAUGGAAGUUACUGUCCCAGAGUGGGGCUAGACUUGGAUGGUGUCUGCGAGACUCAUUUUUAUCAAAUUCAAAGUGGCAGUAAUAUCGAUUAAAUUACAACUAGAAAUAAAAACAGAUCAGUUGAUUUGGUUGCGAAGAGGUUUCGAGGGUCAUGCUUUUCCCCUAUCAUCCCAAGUACUACUAAGUCAGUACCCCUCUAAAUGGGGAGAACUUUGUUGAUGUUUCAUUGGUUUAAAAGUCCAAAUACCAAUUGUAAGGCAUCAAAACAACAAAGACAAGUACUGGGGACCAGCUGAAGAGAGUGAGUGACAUGGUUUGAUUUAGAGUCUCAUGAUUGCAACAUGUUUGAUCGUGAUAUGAUUGUAAUGUCUAACAAAAUAUAUACCAAGAUGGAAAGACCUUUUUUUCUAUAAAAUCUAAAUUUCUAGUUUUGAAGACAUGCCUUUGGUUCUCAUCUCUUACUUGUUCUGCACGGCUAAGUCGCAGUUGCUUCGAUGGGCCCAUGUUGGAAACAUGAAUUGAAAAGAAUGCCAACAAGUAAUAGAAACUUUGUAAUAUUCAGAUAGAUCAAAUUAAGCUUUGUGUGGACCAUUCUCAAAUAAUUACAUUGGCAAUCCUGAAUUUAACAAUCUAACCAUUGAAUUUAACAAUAUAAUUAUAGUUGCCUUGCAUUUAAAAUUUUGAAUUAAUCUAAUAACUCUAUCAUUUCAGUCCAAAACUUUGUUUAUUUCAUAUAUAUUAUAUAAAGCAAAGUUUAUAAGUGUUUUUGAAUGUAACUAAGUAAGCAUGUUUCUUCUACCGCGAGUCAAAAGUUUGCAGCAAUUUUAGCCAUUUCGUACACUAUAUAUCAUUAUAUUGUUGCCUUAAUUAAAGCAGAAUAAUAUAUAUUUCCAUAAGUUUUAAAAAAUAUCAUAAAUUUCCAUUGGGAAUUUGGUUGGUGUAUUCUAAAUCACAUAAUAAUCAGAAAUAUAGAAGAUUUCCAUAUAUUCUCACCUUUUAGUAUAAGUAAUAAUAAUAAAAAUUUGUUGACUCUGGUCAAAGUUGCCUUUACUAUGAAAAUAAAAAUAAAUUUACAAAAUUAGAACCGUAAAAUUCAAGUAAAUCAUUUUUGGUUUAAAAUUUUAAACGUACAUAUUAAAGAUCUCCAAACAAUUUUACUUUAUAAGAGCAAAGUUUAUGGAAUAAUUUUUAUAUCCAAUAAAAAGCCUUUUAUUCUUAUAAAUAUCGUGAAAUUACAAAGUUAAUCUUUGUGUAGGAAAUCUGAUAGGUAAGUAGAAUAACAUCCAUCUAAUAGAUUAGGAAAUAUGUAGUCUUGAGAUGGAAUAGAUUUUACGGUCACAUUGGCAACCCUAAAUUAUAAUCUUCAUUCAUCUCGUUUGCAUAACAUCCAUCUAGUUUUGAGAAAUCUUCACUUUUAAUUUCAAAAUUGCAAUUAAAUAGUUUUAUCCAAUUAAAUAAUAAUUGUUGGCACCAUUUUUUGAUAAAACGGGGUCGACUUAGAUUUUGAAAACAAAAACGAAAACGGGAGUCGCCACCAAUCCUUUUUGAUAAGGUGUGAUCGGAUAACCUUGAAAGUUGGUUGUUUUUAAUAAACGAUUUAAUUUUAUUAAAACAACGAGUUUGGUCCAUGAAAUUCAGAAAAACGGGUUCGGGAGUCGGUUACGUACGAGGAAGGAUUAGCACCCUCGUAACGCCCAAAAAUUGGUACCUAGUUGAUUAGUUAAUGUCUUAAUGUCGAAAAUUGAAAACUUUGAAGAAUUUUAAAAAUACGAUUCUUAAUUUUUUUAAAAGAAAACUUAUAUAAAUCAAGUUACUCGUUAAGACCCUCUCAUUUUAGAAAGAGAAAACGUCACGCCCAAUGUGUUAGGGCACGAUAUUUUACCUCUUCAGAAAUGAGCUUGUCUAAAAACUUGCACAAUAAAAUUUUAAAGGGUAUUCAAUUGUUUAAGUCACGCGAAAAAUUGCAACCCAAUACGAUAGGGCACAAUUUUUCAAAAUAUUAAACAUUGAAUAUUGCAUUCAUUUUGAAAAAUCCUCGACUCGAGAAAACAACUUGUCAUAUCCAAUGCGUUAGGACACAACGUAUUGAAUUCUCGAUAAUGAGCUUUUUAUUUAUGUUUUUGUUUUAAAGAGCACCCUCGAUUAUUUAGAUCCAACGAAGAAAAUUGGAACCCAAUACGUUAGGGUUCAAUUCUCUCGAAGAUCCCAAAUACCGAGUAUUGCUUUUAUUUUGAAAUUUUCCGUUUUUGAUAAAUUCGAGUAAAAAUGGAUGCAAAAUAAUGAUAAUGAUGAUAAUGUAAGUAAAAUAUCACGAGAAAAACAAAAUAUAAAUAAAUAAUAAGACUAAUAUAAAUACAAUCGUGCAGGCGCAAUAACAAAUAAGAAACAGAUAAAAACUAAAGCAAGAUAAAUAAUAAUAAUAGACAUGUAAAUAAAUAACUGAACAAAAUUAACAAAAUUAUAAAAAAUAUAAAAGAUAUAUAUACAUAUAUAUGUAUAAAAUUAUGAAAAUAUGAAAAACAUAUGCACGUACACAUUUUGGAAGCUAUUAUACAUGAAAAUAUAUGUAAGUAUAUAUGCACAUACAUGUAUACGUAUAGAACCAUCAUCAAAUAUAUAAAAGUAUAUAUAUGUAGGUAUAUAUGAAUCACAAAAUAUAAAGAAUAUAUACAAGAUAUAUAUUUUAGAAGUAUAAAGAAUAUGUAAGAAUAUAUAUAUACAUUUAUCAAAAUGAAAUAUAUAUAGAUAUGUAUGUAGGUAUGUAUAAAUAUUAUAAAAUAUAAAAACAUAUAUGUGUACGCAUAUAUAUAAAAAUAUACAUAUGUAUAUAUACAUAUAUAUUAUGAAAAUAAAGCUAAAAUAAUAAAAAACUAGUUAGUGUAUUAACAUAAUUGUAAUGACUAAAUAAUUAAAAUAAAACUAAUAAUAAUAAUAACAAUAAUAAUAAUGGCAAUGAUAAUAACAUUAAAAUAAUUAACUAAAUAAUAAAAUUGCUAAAAAAAGGACUAAAUCAAAAUAAAAACGAAAAUAAUGGGCGAAUUCGAAAUAAAAAACGAAAAGGAUUAAAUUGCUACACGCGCCGAAAGAGGGGGGACCAAAAUGGUAAAUAAACCAAAGCCCCAAAACGCAGCGCUGCAAUGGACUAAAAUGAAACAAAAGUAAAAUUAUGCAGCUAAUUUAAAAUAAAAGAAAAUAACGAAGAAAGGGUCAAAUUGCAAUGCAUUGCAAAGUCGGAGGGACUGCGCGCGCAAAUAUCCCCCUUUAAGAAAACACGCGGAUCCUCCCCUAAGGUAGGGUCACCGGGCGGGUCAGGGCCAAAAGGGCGUCAUUUUGGCACCUGACCCUAAUGGCAAGACGGUGUCGUUUCGUUUAGGGUAUUUAAGUGAAUUUUUUUUUGAAAAAUCUAUACAGCCACUAUUUUUUUUAAAAAAAAAAUCAGAACCCCUCCCCUUUUCAUCUCAACAUCUUGCCUUUGGGGUUCUAAGGCCCCUAUCGCGCUGCCCUCUGCUCUCCUCACCGCCACCGUAUCUGACGGCCGACGAAGUGCCAGAACGGGCGUUCAAAGCCUUGUCCCGGUGAGUUUCCCUUUUUUUCUUUAUGUCAUAUAUAUAUGCGAAUAAAUAAACAAAAAAAGUUAAAACAUCUAAAAAAACCGAAAGAAAUAGAACACCAAAAAUCGCCUUUAAAUUUUUUUGUUUUUUAUUUCUGUGAAAAUGUUCCAAAAACACCAAAAAAACCCCCUUUUUGGUGGAGAUACUCGGCUUUUAUAGCCUAAAUUACAUGCUAUUUUUGCUAUUUCUCUUGCGUUUCUAUUGUUUGCGUGUCUUGCAGGUGACGGCGCAAGUGGGGCGGUGACAUGACCGUGGUGGUGGGUAGGUGCGGCGCUGGUCAGAGGCGGCUGAAGGCCAGCUAGGUGCGGCGGCAGUACUAGGGUUUUAGAAAAGCUGAAACCCUAGUUUGACAAAUUGGUUUGGGUCAGAUUUGGGGUUUGGGUACUUAGGCUCGGGUUGUAAUGGGUAUUUGGGUCUAGUGGGCUGUUUGGGCUUGUUUUUGGGUUUGUUUUUGGGCAGGGCAAAAUUGGGCUUGUACAGCUGCCCCUUUUUGCUCAUUGUCGUGUAACGAGAACAGAGCAAAGACCAAGACAGUCCAAUUUUGUCCGGUCUUGCCAAGUCUUGACUUUUUUUGAUACUUCCCUUCUUUAAGCAGCCUCCUUCCAAUCCAAUGCGUCUUGUUGCUUCAAUCUACUCCACUGCACAUCAAAGAGAUACGGCUUUUAGCUUCAAUCCACUUCACUGCACUUCAGAAAGAUCUGACUUGUAGCUUCAAUCUUCUUCGCAGCAACUUCAGGGGGAUGAGAUUUAUAGUUUUAGUCUACUACUCUACAACUUCAGAGAGAUAAGACUUGUAUCUUCAACCUGUUCCACUGCAACUUCAAGGAGAUAAGGUUUGCAAUUUCAACCUGCCCCACUGCAACUUAAGGGGGAUAAGGUUUGAUAUGAUCUGCUUUACUACAACUUUAGAGAGAUAAGAUCAGUAACUUAUAACUUUAAUCUGUUCCACUACAACUUCAGGGAAAUAAGAUUCGUUAUCUUCAGCCUGCUCCACUGCAACUUCAGGGAGAUAAGACUUGUUAUGGUAGACUUAAUCCAACCUACUGCAACUUCAGAGGUAUAACAUUCAUUAUUUUAAUCUGCUCCACUGCAACUUCAGGGAGAUAGGAUUAAUAGCUUCAAUCUGCUCUGCUGCAACUUCAGGGAGAUAAGAUUGGUGUCUUUAACCUACUCCACUGCUACUUCAGCGAGAUAAGGUUUGCAAUUUCAACCUGCUCCACUGCAACUUCAAGGGGAUAAUGUUUGAUAUGAUCUACUCUACUACAACUUUAAAGAGAUAAGAUCCAUCAUUUUAAUCCGCUCCACUGCAAUUUCAGAGAGAUAGGACUAGUGUUUUCGACGUGCUUCACUGCAGUACAGGACAAGAUAUGUUAUCUUCAGUCUACUUCGCUGCCAAUACAGGAAGACAAGACCUGCUAUCUUUAGUCUACUUUGCUGCCAAUAUAGGAAGACAAAACCUGCUAUCUUUGAUCUACUUCGCUGCCAAUACAGGAAGACAAGAUUUGCUAUCUUCAGUCUACUCGCUGCUAAUACAGGAAGACAAGACCUGCUAUAUUCGAUCUACUUCGCUGCCAAUACAGGAAGACAAGAUCUGCUAUCUUCAAUCAACUUCGUUGACAAUACAGGAAGACAAGACAUGCUAUCUUCGAUCUACUUCGUUGCCAAUAUAGUAAGACAAGAUAUGCUAUCUUCAGUCUACUUCGCUGCCAAUAUAGGAAGACAAGACCUGCUAUCUUUGAUCUACUUCACUGCCAAUAUAGGAAGACAAGACCUGCUAUCUUCAGUCUACUUCGCUGCCAAUACAGGAAAACAAGACCUGCUAUCUUCAGUCUUCUUCGCUGCCAAUACAGGAAGACAAGACCUGUUAUCUUUAAUCUACUUCGCUGCCAAUACAGGAAGACAAGACCUGCUAUCUUCGAUCUACUUCGCUGCCAAUACAGGAAGACAAGAUCUGCUAUCUUCAGUCUACUUCGCUACCAAUACAGGAAGAUAAGACCUCUAUCUUUGAUCUACUUCAUUGCCAAUACAGGAAGACAAGAUCUGUUAUUUUCUCUGAUAUGUUCUUUGGGGAACAUGUCUUGUAUAAUUUAUUUUAUGAACCUAAUAUGUCUUAGUGAUUAGGAUGACAUGAUCAGGAUGGAUCAAAUGCUCCUAACUAGAUGUGUAUAAAUGAUAUUUGUAUGAAUGCAGAAAUGUCAUGAGAAUGAUCCCUCAACGUUUGAGUUGUUAUUGCUCAUUGUUCAAAAAGGCUUUAUUGCCAACAUGUCAGAAUGCUAUCUUGUCCCGUUGGUAAUGCUCAUAUCCUACUUAGUCGGCUUGCCCCCAUUGUAAUCUUUAAUGUCCGAUCCACUGUAAUUUUCAAAGUUCAAUCCAUUGUAAUCUCUAGGGACAUAAAAUUUGAACCAUAUUCCUUUCACUGAGUAUAAGAUCUGGCUCUUUCUCAAUCCUCUCCCACUGCAAUUUAGGGAUACAAGAUCUGAAUCUCUUUGGUCUCCUACACCAUUCUCAGGGUGUCGUACCAAAUGUUUAUACACAAUUGUAGAACUUUCUCUUUCGAGAAGCCUCUUCUUAUUACUUGGUGAUCAUUACUUCCUUGUUCAUUGAAGCUUUGUCACCAACACGACAUCUUGUCAUUUUUGUUCAACCAAUGUUUGGAUAACAAAAUUCGAAUGGAUAGUCUUAGACUUUUCAUUCUUAGAUAUUUCAACCUUUAAACGUGGUGUUUUCUAAACAAUAGUCAUGUUUCAGGUUCCUAUAUUAUUUAGAAACUUCUAGAGUAAUAUGCAAAACUUCUGUUGUGAAAGUAUUAUUAGUCCAUUAAUCAUUAUUCCAAUGCAAUUCUUGCAAAAGAUCAUAACGAUCGAUAAAAUAGGAUUGAUUUGGGAGCAUGACUCAAAAUGGAUAAAUUAUUAAGGAUAGUAAAAAUAAAAGAGGAAUGGAUUGGGAACACAUAUCUUGAAAAAGAAUAAAGUAUUCCAAGAAUAACAAAUUCAAUAUAAAUAGUAUGAAGACUAGUGCCCCAAAUAUGUGUUUGACAUGUGUUUGAUAUGAAGACUAGUGCCCCAAAUAGUAUGAAUAACUUGAACUUCUUUGUACAAACUUUCUGAAGACCAUUCUGAGUUUAACAUGUGUUUAGGAGAUCUACAGUACUUUGCCGAUGCCCUAAGAUGUCGUCUACCCUUUCCUGUUGAUUCAGGUAUAGCAAGAUCACCACAUGCCCCCAAUCUGAUCAAAAUUUGAGCUGCUCUGAUCACCUUAUGUCCUAUUCUUAUCAAAAUUUGAGCCGCCCUUUUCACGUUUUCAACUCAAAUCCCCUUUGGUCUCAAGGCGCCCUUUGUGGUUUUCACUUUGGCCUUUCCUUUUUCUUUUUCUUUUCUUCUUCUUUUUCUUUUUUUUUCUUGUUUUUUUAUUUUUUUGAUUGAAUCUGAACUCAUAGGAUUAAGCAUGUCCUUAUUACCCCUUCUAAUCAAGAUCGAUGCUUUUCCAAAUAAGGCCUUCCACAUAAGAUUUUUCCCAGCUUGGCGUAAAGUUCUUUUUGUAUGGGAAUGAUCUUCUUCAAUACUAGGUCUCUCUCAUUGGAAUUCUCUAGGGUGAACCUUCUUUGGUGAGCUUACAUCAUUUUUUAGCACAUUUGAUCAUGACGGAUAACUUUAAAACUUUCUCUUCAAUCGGGAUUGGAUCUAAAAAAACUCAGAGAGAAGGAACCUCAACUUCAAUGGGCAAAACUGCGAUAAGCCCAAGAAAAAUACAUUUCCCCAAUAGGUUUUUUUUACAGCGCUAUUCGUUUUGCGGCAAUAUGGUGUUAAUCUUGAACAGACUGUAAACUUCUGAUACGUGCUGUUGUUCAGAUUUAGUUCCUUGUCAGAUAUGAUCUUUUUUGGCAUUCCAAGAAUUUGAUGACUAUCGACUUCGUGACAUUGGCAUAUGAAGCAGCUUCCACCCACUUAGUAAAGUAAUCGACGACCACAAAGAUGAAUCACUGACCGUCAGAAGCUUUUGGCGAGAUCGACCCACUGACAUCUGUGCCCCACAUAGAGAAAGUCUAUAAAAAAGUCAUAACAUGAAGGGAUGAAGGAGGCACAUGAAUCUUGUCUCCAUAAAUUUGGCACUUAUGACAUUUCUUGGCACAACUGAUGCAAUCCCCUUUCAUGGUGGACUAGCAGUACCCGAAUCAUUGUAAAACCAUUAGCAUGUGUUCCUCAGACACCCUUAUAGACCUCUUCUAAGAUUUUCUUAGCCUCAACAGCGUCGACACAUCUUAGUAGCUCAGGCAUAUUUUGGUACGAUCAUGCGACAACAUCUUUAAAUUCUUGAAGUAACUCAAUAAUAUCUUGCUUUAUUUCUGUGAUGAUACAGGCUCCAAUCUUCACCUCUUUCUCUUCUCCUAAGGUCACAAUUUCCACUUGAUUCCUUGUAAGGCAGGAUCUGUUUCUCAACUUGUUCUACCGUCCUUAACAAGUCCGAAAAUAGGCUAUAAUCUAUGUCAUCUUCAAAGUCAUGAGAUCCUUCUAAACACAUGUCUCGCUCAAAAAGAGAUUUUGAGUCUGUAGCAGCGUCACUUAUGUCAUUGAUAUCUAGGGACCUAUUAUAGGUACAAAAGAAUGUAUAAAGAAUAUAUAAACUUAUGAGUAAUUAUUUGUUCAGUAUGAUUAUGAAUGAAUGAAAGAAUGAUUUGGAAGAAAGAAUGAAUAAAAAAUAAUUAUUCAUAAAGAAUGAAAUAAUAUUGGCUCAAAAAUGACCGCAAAGAUGCAUUUCAUAAUGACAUUCAGAUAUGAGCCUAUUUCACAAAAGAGUUCUUAUUGUCUCUAAGCUAAAAGCAACAAGUGUGUUCUGAAUAUUACUCUAAGUAAGCUCUAAAUACUACAGGGGUCUCUUCUGUAGUCUAAUUAUUUAGAACACUUCCAGGGUUAGAAGGGCGGAUAUCUAACAAGGUUCCUUUUCAAUUGCGUCUAUAAACGUUUCCCAACACUUCUCCAUUCAUCUCAUUCACCCCAUUAUCAAUGUGAUUGGGUAGCGAAUUUUCUGCACUAGGUGAAUCAUAAAAUUUGACAACGCCCAUACUGACAAGCUUUUCAACCACUUUUUUAAAGGCAAUGCAAUCUUCUAUGGAAUGUCUCGUAAUUCUCGCAUAACAAUCACAUUGUGCAUUCACGUCGUACCAUUUGGGGUAUGGAGGUCGUGGGGGUUUUGAGUAGAAAGGGGCAACAAUGUGAGCAUCGAAUAAGCUUUGAUAUAGCUCUUUAUACGACAUUGAAAUUGGCGUGAACUAAAGCUUUUCAGUGUUUUGUCUUGUGCCAGAUUCUUGUCUUAGGGGGAUCUGACGGCUAGAAGCAACCGUCCUUGGUUGGCUUGCUGUAAUUGGCUUUGAAUAACCCUCGUUAUACCUACUCGCAGCAUUCACCUCAUUUUUCCUCUUUCUUGGGGUCUUUGAAGUAUUGAUUUGGGAGUUCGACUUUCGCCAUUUCCAUUUGUAACAAUCUUCAAAUUAUUUUGAAAACUCCACUCUCGCCUGUUUUGUUUCUGCUAGAUUGUCAAGGACCACAGGAUUGGUUAGAUUAUCCCCAGGCUGAAACUUGAGUCUGUCGGGUAAUUCAUUGGUGUCGAGGUACCGAUCUGGUAUUGAGGUCUGAUGUUAACAGACAUCUUUUGUGGAUAUCCAUCUGGUCGUGCCUGGGUGAUUGUUGGUGUAGAGCCUAAAAAAUAAGCAUGGUCUUCAUUAUCUUCUUCAAAGUGGACCACUGGGUUUUUUUCCUUUUUCUAACCCUCUAUCCAAUAACUGGGUUAACUGGCUCAUCAGAUCUCUUUUGAAUUAUAGCAUCUGAUCCUUCAUCUCUUGUUGAAAUUUGGUCAAUUGCUCUAAUAUCUGUAUUUGCCUUUGCUCUAAUCUCUCCACCCUUUGGUCCAUCCCUUUAAUUUCUUGUUCAGGCAUCGUAAGGGUGUUGGUUUUCCAGAUUAGCUGAAAUAAUUUUACUCAAUUAGGUUCUUUUAAUGGUUCUUAAUGCAUAUGAUGUUAUGUAAUGCAAAUGCAUGAAUGUAAAAGAAGAGAGGCAUUGAUUCUGAUUCAAUUCUAUUAGAAUAACUUUUCUAGAAAACAAAUCUCUUUACAUAAAAUGGAUAUAUAUUCGGCAUUGCCCUCAUAUUCCAAGCGAAAACAACGAUCCUUUUCUUCAUCCGGAUGUUAAAAUAAAUCUCGCAAAUUUUUAAUGGAUGCCUCUACUUGCUCCUUUUUGCUUGUUCCGGGUUCUGACUCAUUACUCACUCAUCCUCGUGAUGCUCGGUAGCUUCUUUAAAAAGGGCAGGACAUUGAUGCCUCUCGAAUAAUCUUUAUCAACUUAAAUCCUCAGACAACGAAACAAAUUUGUGUAGUCCUCUAUUAGACCAUCAUCCUUCUCUUGUUGUGUUUUCUCGGAACAUAUUCGGACAACCGUAUUAUUUCCCACUUUAUCAAAAGACCCAUUUUCCAUGACAAGCUUUUCUAUUUAGCAAUCAAAUUUGAAUCAACACCUCUUUUCUAGGAUGAAAAUGCAAUGCAGUCUUAACCAAAACAAAAUCGAUUAGUACAAAGCAAAAGAAAAUAAGAAAGAUAGAAUACCUAUUCGGGUAACUACUAGGGGUUUGAAGUGGUUCUACCUAGGGUGGGCUCCUAAGGUCUUCUAUAUGUGGUUUGGUUCUAAAGCAAAGGUACCCAAACCAGCAGAUUCCUUGAUCCGCACCCAUUAUAGGCUCAUACGGACCGAGUUAGGUUCAGGGGAAUACAUUUCCCUAUGGCUACACAGAGAUGAGAAUCUCACGAAGACAUAGGUACAGAUAUAUCCCGAAAGUGAUCCACUAUCCUGCACGGAGGUGAAAACCUCACGAAGGAGUAGCUUCUCACUCCCACUUAAAAGGGUGUGACCCACGGUCAUGCAAUCCAAUGUGCAGAAAGAUACCAAAAUUUAAACCAACACAUCAAUUAUAAACCACAACGAUGAAAAUUGUAAUAAAGACGAAUGAAAUGCAACGAAAGGAUCGUAUAUUUAAAUCAAGUUUUCAAUUUUCAACAAAAAGACAAAAAGUAAUCAACUCCUGGCUCGAUUCACUUAUUUUGGGUCCCUAGUGGAGUCGCCAAGCUGUUGGCACCAUUUUUUGAUAAAACGGGGUCGACUUAGAUUUUGAAAAUGAAAACAAAAACGGGAGUCGCCACCAAUCCUUUCUGAUAAGGUGUGAUCGGAUCACCUUGAAAAGUGGUUGUUUUUAAUAAACGAUUUAAUUUUAUUAAAACAACGAGUUUGGUCCAUGAAAUUCAGAAAAACAGGUUUGGGAGUUGGUUACGUACGAGGAAGGAUUACCCUCGUAACGCCCAAAAAUUGGUACCUAGUUGAUUAGUUAAUGUCUUAAUGUCGAAAAUUGAAAACUUUGAAGAAUUUUAAAAAUACGAUCCUUAAUUUUUCUUUUAAAAGAAAACUUAUAUAAAUCAAAUUACUCAUUAAGACCCUCUCAUUUCAGAAAGAGAAAACGUUACGCCCAAUGCGUUAUGGCACGAUAUUUUACCUCUUCAGAGAUGAGCUUGUCUAAAAACUUGCACAAUAAAAUUUUAAAGGGUAUUCAAUUGUUUAAGUCACGUGAAAAAUUGGAAAACCCAAUACGUUAGGGCACAAUUUUUCAAAAUAUUAAACAUUGAAUAUUGCAUUUAUUUUGAAAAAUCCUCGUCUCGAGAAAACAACAUGUCAUAUCCAAUGCGUUAGGACACAAUGUACUGAAUUCUCGAUAAUGAGCUUUUUAUUUAUGUUUUUGUUUUAAAGAGCACCCUCGAUUAUUUAGAUCCAACGAAGAAAAUUGGAACCCAAUACGUUAGGGUUCAAUUCUCUCGAAGAUCCCAAAUACCGAGUAUUGCUUUUAUUUUGAAAUUUUCCGUUUUUGAUAAAUCCGAGUAAAAAUGGAUGCAAAAUAAUGAUAAUGAUGAUAAUGUAAGUAAAAUAACACGAGCAAAACAAAAUAUAAAUAAAUAAUAAGACUAAUAUAAAUACAAUCGUGCAGGCGCAAUAACAUAUAAGAAACAGAUAAGAACUAAAGCAAGAAAAAUAAUAAUAACAGACAUGUAAAUAAAUAACUGAACAAAAUUAACAAAAUUAGAAAAAUGUAAAAGAUAUAUAUAUAUACACAUAUAUAUGUAUAAAAUUAUGAAAAUAUGAAAAACAUAUGCACGUACACAUUUUUGAAGCUAUUAUACAUGAAAAUAUAUGUAAGUAUAUAGGUACAUACAUGUAUAUGUAUAGAACCAUCAUCAAAUAUAUAAAAGUUUAUAUAUGUAGGUAUAUAUGAAUCACAAAAUAUAAAGAAUAUAUACAAGAUAUAUAUUUUAGAAGUAUAAAGAAUAUGUAAGAAUAUAUAUAUACAUAUAUUUAUGAAAAUGAAAUAUAUAUAGAUAUGUAUGUAGGUAUGUAUAAAUAUUAUAAAAUAUAAAAACAUAUAUUUGUACGCAUAUAUAUAAAAAUAUACAUAUGUAUAUAUACAUAUAUAUUAUGAAAAUAAAGCUAAAAUAAUAAAAAAAACUAGUUAGUGUAUUAACAUAAUUGUAACGACUAAAUAAAGGAAAAUAAAACUAAUAAUAAUAAUAAUAAUGAUGGCAAUAAUAAGAACAUUAAAAUAAUUAACUAAAUAAUAAAAUUGCUAAAAAAACUGACUAAAUCGAAAUAAAAACGAAAAUAAUGGGCGAAUUCGAAAUAAAAAAACGAAAAGGAUUAAAUUGCUACAAACGCCGAAAGAGGGGGACCAAAAUGGUAAAUAAACCAAAGCCCUAAAACACAGCGUUGCAACGGAUUAAAAUGAAACAAAAGUAAAAUUAUGCAGCUAAUUUAAAAUAAAAGAAAAUAACGAAAAAAUGGCCAAAUUGCAAUGCGUUGCAAAGUCGGAGGGACUACGCGUGCAAAUAUCUCCCUUUAAGAAAACACGCGGAUCCUCCCCCUAGGGUCGGGUCACCGCGCUGGUCAGGGCCAAAAUGGCAUCGUUUUGGCACCUGACCCUAAUGGCAAAACGGCGCUGUUUCAUUUAGGGUAUUUAAGUGAAUUUUUUUUUGAAAAAUCUAUACAGCCACCAUUUUGUUAAAAAAAAAUUCAGAACCCCUCCCUUUUUCCUCUCAACAUCCUGCCUUUGGGGUUCUAAGGCCCCUAUCGCGUCGCCUCUCUACUCGUCACACCACCACCGUAUCUGACGGCCGACGAAGCGCCAGAACGGGCGUUCAAAGCCUUGUCCCGGUGAGUUUCCCUUUUUUUUCUUUAUGUCAUAUAUAUAUGCGAAUAAAUAAACAAAAAAAAGUUAAAACAUCUAAAAAAAACCGAAAGAAAUAGAACACUAGAAAUCACCUUUAAAUUUUUUUGCUUUUUAUUUUUGUGAAAAUGUUCCAAAAACACAAAAAAAACCCCCUUUUUGGUGGAGAUACUCGGCUUUUAUGGCCUAAAUUACAUGUUAUUUUUGCUAUUUCUCUUGUGUUUUUGUUGUUUGCGUGUCUUGCAAGUGACGGCGCAAGUGGGGCGGCGACGUGACCGUGGCAGUGGGCAGGUGCGGCGCUAGUCAAAGGUGGCUGAAGGCCAGCUAGGUGCGGCGGCAGUACUAGGGUUUCAGAAAAGAUGAAACUCUAGUUUGACAAAUUGGUUUGGGUCAGAUUUGGGGUUUGGGUACUUGGGCUCGAGUUGCAAUGGGUAUUUGGGCCUAGUGGGCUGUUUGGGCUUGUUUUUGGGCAGGGCAAAAUUGGGCUUGUACAAUAAUAAUAUAUGGCUAUGCUGAUGUCUGUAAUUUCAUAAAAUAAUUACUCUAAUUUAAUCUAAUCCAUGUCUCUUUCUUUCUGAGUUUGUCAGGCAAUAAAUUCCCUUCGAUUUCAUCUAGCUUGUUAUAAUAAUGUUAUUUCAAAUUAGUUAAUGAAGAGAAUUUGUGAUGUUAUAUUUAAAUUGAAUCUUUUGAUUUCUUAAGAAUUGAUUUUAAAUUAGAAAGAUCAAAAUUUAAGUAGGAUCACUAAGAGAUGCUAGUGGGAUAAGUUUUGCGGGUCUCACCCUGCUUCACGCUCAAUUGACGGAGGGAUGGGGAUAAAAAUUAAACCCGUUGUGAGUGGUGGGGUAGGCUUGGGUAUGACCUUAUACCUACCCCCAUCCCAUCUCUAUCCAUCCCGCAUAAUAUAAUAAACAUAUUUAAAAAAUAAAAAUUUAUAAAAAUUUAAUUUAAUAAUUAUUUUAAUAGUAUUUAAUUUUUGCACUUGUAUUGUAUUUGAAGACAUUUAUGAUGUAUUUGAGAUAUUGUUUGUAUUUUGAUAUUAUGUAAUGACUUUAUUAGGAGAGAAACAACCGAGUUUAAUACUUUUUUAAUGUUAGUUCAAUAUUCUUUAAAUACUUUGAUUCUAAGGAUUUAGGUAAGGCAUCCAUUGACUCAUAAUUUGAAUAAGAAAUACGUACAAUCUUCUGGGUCCAACCGUGUUAUAAGGGAAAAAAGGAGAGCCUAAAAUAGAAGACUUAGUCUCAAGUUGAAGAGUAGCACUAAUAAUUCAAUUGGUUGGUUUGAGAAACCCAGGAACCUUUUAUAGGUUUAAGUUUUUACUAGGAGGAAAAAAUUUAAGAUGUAGAAAAUUUUUAUUAUUGUUAAACCUCUUAUCAAAUAAUUAGUAAUUUUUUUUAUUUUUAAUUAAUAUAAAAAUUCUCAACUCAAAUUUUAAAUUAAAAAUUAAAAGUAAUUUGUAAGUUUAUAGUAAUUGUAAGUUUCAUAAAUUAAAAAUGUUGUUUUUUUUUCAUUUUUAAAUAUAAUAAAGGCAAAAUUAACGGAAGGGAAAACUUUCUGCUUGGUUUAAAAGUCAGAUAUCAAUUACAAGACAAAAAAAAAAACAAAGACAAGUAUUGGGGACCAGUAGAUGAUAGUGAGUGACACUAUUUGAUUUAGUCUAAUUAUUUCAACAUGUUUGAUUGAAACUAUUUUGUAAUCUCUGAUUAAAUAAAUAUUGACAGGAAAAGACUUCAAUUUUCUUCUUUUCCUUAGCUAUAAAAUUGAAUUUCUAGUUUGGAUUACAUGCCUUUGGUUCUCAUCUCUAGUUGUGUAAGGCUGAGUCGCUGUUAAUUAGUUGGAUGGACCUACAUUAAAAACAUGAAUUGAAAAGAUAAGUAAUAGAAACUUUGUCAGAUUUAGACAAAUAUCAACCACAUCUUUAUUAACAUUUUACAUUUCUUAUCCCAAUAUUCAAAACCAAACAAUAAUACAUUCAUUGCAUGUUCCUUUUCUCAAAUAUCAUUUUAUUUAAUGUCAUUAGAGAUUACUCUAUUCUUUUUUCUUUGUGAUAAAAAUUGUUAAACAAAAAAUUAUUACAAAUGUUGUAGGAAUCUAUCCUUUGAGAUUGUUUGAUUCUAGUUUUUGACAAAUUGCUCAAAGUUGAUGGGAUAAAACAAGUGAGUUUGAUGGUGUUCGGAAACAAGCUUCGAUGUUUAGUGAGAUCAAAAUUUGUUGGCAAAUUAAAUUACUCAAUGGGUAAAUAUCCAUGGAAGUUAUUGUCCUAGAGUGGGGCUGGACUUGGAUGGUGUCUGCGAGACUCAUUGUUAUCAAAUUCAAAGUGGCAGUAAUAUCGAUUAAAUUACAAGUAGAAAUAAAAACAGAUCAGUUGAUUUGGUUGCGAAGAGGUUUCGAGGGUCAUGCUUUUCCCCUAUCAUCCCAAGUACUACUAAGUCAGUACCCCUCUAAAUGGGGAGAACUUUGUUGAUGUUUCAUUGGUUUAAAAGUCCAAAUACCAAUUGUAAGGCAUCAAAACAACAAAGACAAGUACUGGGGACCAGCUGAAGAGAGUGAGUGACAUGGUUUGAUUUAGAGUCUCAUGAUUGCAACAUGUUUGAUCGUGAUAUGAUUGUAAUGUCUAACAAAAUAUAUACCAAGAUGGAAAGACCUUUUUUUCUAUAAAAUCUAAAUUUCUAGUUUUGAAGACAUGCCUUUGGUUCUCAUCUCUUACUUGUUCUGCACGGCUAAGUCGCAGUUGCUUCGAUGGGCCCAUGUUGGAAACAUGAAUUGAAAAGAAUGCCAACAAGUAAUAGAAACUUUGUAAUAUUCAGAUAGAUCAAAUUAAGCUUUGUGUGGACCAUUCUCAAAUAAUUACAUUGGCAAUCCUGAAUUUAACAAUCUAACCAUUGAAUUUAACAAUAUAAUUAUAGUUGCAUUGCAUUUAAAAUUUUGAAUUGAUCUAAUACCUCUAUCAUUUCGGACCAAAACUUUGUUUAUUUCAUAUAUAUUAUAUAAAGCAAAGUUUUUAAAUAUUUUUGAACGUAACUAAGUAAGCAUCUUUUUAGUAUUUUUUUUUAUCUAAAUUAGAUUUGAGUAAAAUUUUAGCCAUUUCUUACACUAUAUAUCAUUAUAUUGUUGCCUUAAUUAAAGUUUUCAUAAAUUUUUAAAAAUAUCAUAAAUUUCCAUUGGGAAUUUUGUUGGUGUAUUCUCUAAAUUACAUAAUAAUCAGAAAUAUGAAAGAUUUUCAUAUAUUCUUGCCUUUUAGUAUAAGUAAUAAUAAAUUUUUUUGUUGAUUCACCUUUACUAUGAAAAUAAAAAUAAAAAAUUACAAAAUUAGAACCGUAAAUCAAUUUUGGUUUAAAAUUUUAAACCUACAUAUUAAAGAUAUCCUAACUAUUUUACUUUAUAAGAGCACAGUUUAUGGAAUAAUUUUUAUAUCCAAUCAAAGGCUUUUCAUUCUUAUAAAUAUCGGAAAUUACAAAGUUAAUCUUUGUGUGGAAAAUUUGAUAGGUAAGUAGCAUAGCAUCCAUCUAAUAGAUUAGGAAAUCUGUAGUCUUGAGAUGGAAUAGUGUAGCGACCUAAAAUUUUGGGCACGGGUGCUAGUCGAAGUAAUUAUUGAAAACUUGAAAACAGUAUCUCGAUUUUAUUUGAAAAAAGAGUCGCCACCGAUCUUUUUUUCUAGGUGUGAUCGGACACCAAACAAAUUCUCUUUUUUUAAAACAAAAAUUAUUUUUCAAAUUUUUCUAAAAAGAGGUAAUUUUAGGUCUACGUGAAAAUCCAGAGAAAAUUAGAGUUCGGGAGUCGGUUACGUGCGAGGAAGGUAUUAGCACCCUCGCGACGCCCAAAAUUGGUAUCUCGUUAAACGCAUGUUGUCUUAAUUUUCAAAAAAUACGAAUUCAAUUUAAUAUUUACUCGUGAUCCGAUUGAAACAUGAGAAUUUUUUUUAAAAAAACACGAGAAAUUUGAAACACGAUUUAAAAAAAAACACGAAAGUUUUUGAAUCACAAGAAUUUUUGAAAACCCGAAAAUUUUUAGAAACAUGAAGAUUUUUGAAACACGACAAUUUUUGAAACACAAGAAUUUUUUUUAAAGCGCAAACUUUUUUAAAACACUGAAAUUUGUGAAACACGAGAAUUGUUGAAAACACGAAAAUUUUUGAAAAUAUGAAAAUUUUUGAAAACACAAAAAUUUUUGAAACACAAAAAUUUUUAGAAAACAAGAAAACUUUUUGAAUCACUAGAAUUUUGAAAACACGUAAAUUUUUGAAACAUCGGAAUUUUUGAAAACAUGUGGAUUUUUUUUUACACAAAUUUUCUGAUUUUUUUAUUAAGCACGUAUCGUAUUUAACACGAGCCGGUGAUAUUCACUCAACAUAGCAAUGAAAUCAACGAAUUAGUGACAAAUCGAUUCGUUGCCUUAUUUUUUGAAAACGCGAAUAUAUUUUUUUAAGACACGGGAAAAUUUUUUUUUAAGACAAAAAAAUUUUGAAACACAGGAAUUUUUUUUUGAAAACACGAAUUUUUUUUGAAUUUUUUUUAUUUUUAAAAGGGCGUAUCGAGUUUAAUGCAAACCGGUGAAAUUCACCCAGCAUAGCGAUGAAAUUAACGAUUUAAUGUUAAAUCGAUUCGUUGCCUUAUUUAUUAAAAUUAUUUAAAAUAAAAUAAAAUUGAAAUUAAAUUAAAUUAAAAAUAUAAAUACAAAAAUAUAAAAAUACAUAAAGUACUAAUAAUAUUAAAACGAAAUAGCAUAAAAAUACGAGUAUUAAAUUAAAAGCGAAAUAAACGAAAUUACCGAAAAGGUCCAAAACACAAGCUUGGUCGAACGGGUUAUGCAAAUUGAACCCUUUUCUCUUUUUUCUUCUUUUUUUCUUUUUUCUUUUUUUCUCUGUUUUUUUCCGUCUUUCUCUUCUUUUUCUUUUUUGGCCUGUUGGGCCUGCACACUUGCUGGCUGCUGUUGGGCUGCCUGCGCACUGGGCCUGGCUGCUGGACUGGUGCGUUGGGCUUUGGGUUGCUUCUUUUCUCUUUUUUUUUUCUGCUUUGUUUAUUUUUUUUCUAGGCUGCUGAGCUGCUACUGUGGCCUGCUAAUUUGCUGGGGCUGUCGGGUCGGGUCACGGGUCAUACGGGUCGGGUCGGACUGACCUGACUAUUAAAAAAUAAUUUUCUUUUUCUUUUUUCUUCUUCUUUCUUCUUCCCCUUUUCUUCUUUCUUUCUUCUUUAUUUUUUCUUUCUUUCUUCAUUUUUUUCUUUCUUUUUCUCUUCUCCUUCAUUCAAUCCCCGACGGCACUUCCCCCCUACUUGGUGCGGCGGUUGACGGCGAGGCGCGGUGGAGCACUCCUCUUCUCCUCCCCUUUUCUGAAAAAAAAAGCUCUCUUUUUUCUUUAUUUUUUCUUCCAAAAUUUUUUUUUGUUUAGGCCUUCCCCAUUUUAGGGGUAAAACACCCCUUUUAUAGUUGAUUUUUGCUUCAUUUUGCAGGUGGUAGGUGGCUAGGGGGGAGGGAGGCCAUGCCCUAGGCCGAUGGCCGGAAAUCACGGGGGUAGGUGUGCAAGUUGCUGCCAGAAGGACUAAACUGUAAUCGUAGCAAAACUUUUGGGGCCAAUGUGUAAUUUUAAGAAAAUUUAGGGGUCAAAAUAUAAUUUAAAAAAACCUAGUGGAUAAAACAUAAUUUCAAGAAAAUUUAGGGGUCAAAAUGCAAUUUCAAAAAAUUUAGGGGACGAAAUGUAAUUUUUUUUAAAAACGCAAAUUCGUCCCGGACAAAAUUCAGUGAUUAUAGCUGCCCCUCUUUGCUCAUUGCUGUGAAAUAGGGAUAGAGCAAAGACUUUAAAAGCACUGAAUUUUGUUCGACUAUCCAAAAUUUCUUUUUUAUUUGACAAAUAGAAAUCGUGAAAAGCUCGGCGUGCGAUCCUUUUUUUUUGAGACACAUAAAUUGAAAAAUAUAUCGACGUGUGACUUGAGGCUGAACUCACCUCUAGCAAUAUGAGUUGAUUUUUUUUGAAAGAACAGAAAUUUUAAAAAAAUACCUCGAUAUGAGCCUGAUGCUCAACUCACCUUUCACAAUAUGAGUUGAUUGUUUGAAAAGCAUAAAUUGAAAAUUACCUCAGCGUGACCCGAGGCUCAACUCACCUCUCGCAAUAUGAGUUGAUUUUUUUGGAGAAAACAAAAAUUGAAAAAUACCUCAGCAUGUGCCCGAGGCUCAACUCACCUCUCUUAAUAUGAGUUGAUUUUUUUUGAAAAGCAGAAAUUAAAAAAUACCUCAGCGUGUGACCCAAGGCUCAACUCACCUCUCGCAAUAUGAGUUGAUUUUUUUAAAAAUAGAAAUUUAAAUGAAAUACCUCGGCAUGUGACCCGAGGCUCAACUCACCUCUCGCAAUAUGAGUUGAUUUUUUUUUUAAAAACAGAAAUUGAAAAAUACCUCAGCGUGACCCGAGGCUCAACUCACCUCUCGCAAUAUGAGUUAAUUUUUUUGGAAAAAAUAGAAAUUUAAAAGAAAUACCUCGACAUGUGUCCGAGGCUCAACUCACCUCUCGUAAUAUGAGUUAAUUUUUUUGGAAAAAAUAGAAUUUUAAAAGAAAUAUCUCGACAUGUGUCCGAGGCUCAACUCACCUCUUGUAAUAUGAGUUGACUUUUGAAAAAACAGAAAUUUAAAAGAAAUACCUCGGCAUGACCCGAGGCUCAACUCACCUCUCGCAUUAUGAGUUGAUUUAAAAAAAAACAGAAAUUGAAAAAUAUUUCUUGAAAGAAAUAAGGUUUCAAAAAACAUCAGGUGAAACUAAAAGCCUUUUUCUUCAUUGAUUCUGUGCAGUGUUCUCCCAGUAUUCCUUCCUCUACUGGUAUACCUGUAUAUGUCAUGUAUGAUGUUAUUAUGAUAUGCACAUGUUUUUCCUAAAUGCUUUCUUGUCUACAUGAUCAUGCCAUGCACCCUGGGCUGUUUAUCACAUGCCCCACUUUUGAUUUUCGUGAGGGUCUGCAUUCAUCUCCUCAAUUCUUGACUUUUCUCUCCAGUUUUGUACUCAUCCUCAAGUUCUGUGAGUAAUCCACAUCUUCGUAUACCACCUUCCUACCCCCUUGUUGAACUUUGUUCUUCCUUCAGGGUCAUUGUAUUUAUCAAAUUCUCAUCCAGGUAAUGCUCAACAUUCCUUUUGUUUAGAGUAUGUCAUCUUACUAUUUAUCAUUUAAAUGAAUCAAACACGAGAUGUAUGAAAAAUGGAAAAGUAGGAAUAAAAGAAAGACCUCACAUUCAUUUUUUUUUAAAAGCAACAAACAAAAAAUUGACAAGGAAAGUUGAACAAAUGAAUCGUCAUAAAGAAAAGAAAGUGAAUUCAAUGGCCAGAAAUGCUCUAGAUAUCCAACGCAUGAACUUUUCCACGUUUCUUCAUCCUGGUUCUUCUCGAGCACGACUUCUUGUGUAGAAGAUUUCGAGCUUCUGAGAAUGCUUCAAAUAUUGUGACUUCGUCAUUCAACUUCCCGCUCAAGUCGUUUUGCUCAUUUAUGUUCGAGCCCAUUUCAUUAGGACGCCAUUUCGGGUUUUCAUCCUAAUCCUUUUUUUUAUCAAUACGCCCUUUUCGGGUUUUCAUCUUGAUUUUUCAUUUUUUGUUUUUUUAGGCAUAAUAUUUCUUCAUAGCAUCUGAGUUAAUUGGAUUAGGUAAUUCUUUCCCAUUCAUCUCAGUGAGAAUCAGAGCCCCUCCCGAGAAUGCCUUUUUUACAACAUAUGACCCUUCCCAAUUUGGUGACCAUUUUCCUCGAAAGUAUUUUUGUAUCGGGAGGAUCUUUCUUAGUACCAGUUCCCCUUCGCGGAAUUCUCUUGGCCGCACCCUUUUAUCAUGGGCCGUGAUCAUUCUUUUCUGAUACAUCUGUCCAUAACAAAUUGCCUUCAAGCGUUUCCCUUCAAUAAGGUUUAGCUGAUCAUAUCGAGCUCGAACCCACUCUGAUUCUUCUAACUUUGUCUCCAUCAAGACGCGCAGGGAUGGGAUCUCUACUUCGAUAGGCAGAACGGCCUCCAUCCCGUAGACCAGAGAAAAAGGAGUUUCCCCUGUAGACGUCUGUACAGAGGUGCGAUAUACAUACAAAGCAAAUGGUAGCUUCUCGUGCCAGUUUUUAUAUGUCUCAGUCAUCUUCCCGAGAAUCCUCUUAAUGUUUUUGUUGGCCGCUUCGACAGUUCCGUUCAUUUUCUGGCGAUAGGGUGAGGAAUUAUGAUGCUUUAUCUGGAAUUGCUCACACACUUCUUUUAUCAUCUUAUUGUUCAAAUUUAAAGCAUUAUCUGAAAUGAUUCUUUCAGGCAGACCAUAUCGACAUAUGAUCUCCUUUUUUAUGAACCUACAGACUGCAGCCUUCAUCACAUUAGCAAACGAAGUGGCUUCUACCCAUUUUGUGAAGUAGUCUAUAACUACAAAGAUGAAUCGAUGUCCAUUGGAAGCUUUCAGGGAAAUUGGCCCUAUAACAUCCAUGCCCCACAUAGAAAAUGGCCACGGAGAAAUCAUGACAUGAAGGGGCGACGGAGCUGCAUGAAUUUUAUCACUAUAAAUUUGACAUUUGUGGCACUUUCGUGCGUAGCCAAUGCAAUCCCUUUCCAUCGUCAGCCAAUAAUAACCAAGUCUCAUAAUCUGCUUGGCCAUGGUGAAACCACUAGCAUGCGUUCCACAAAUUCCUUCAUGAACCUCCUCAAGUAUCUUUCUAGCUUCAACAGCGUCCACGCACCUCAGGAGCACUUGAUCUUUUCCCCUUUUGUAUAGAAUACCCCCGUCGAGAACAAAUCCAAUAGCCAUUCUUCUAAUUGCUUUUUUGUCAUUCUCGUUUGCCUGCUCGGGGUACCUUUGAUUCUUGAUAUACUCUAAGAUAUCAUGGAACCAUGGUCGUCCAUCUGACUCCUCCUCAAUACUAAAACAAUGUGCAGGGGUCUCAUAUAUACUCAUUUGGAUGGGCAUUAUCUCAGUUUCUCUGUUUGCUUUGAACAUCGAAGCCAAGGUGGCUAGGGCAUCAGCCAAUUGGUUCUCUUCUCGUGGAAAGUAAUUAAAAGUCACUUCUUUGAAUUCUUUGACCAAUUUCACAACGAGAUCAUGAUACCUGACUAAUUUUGGAUCUCUCACUUCCCAAUCUCCACGAAUUUCAUAAAUGACUAAUGCUGAGUCCCCGUGUACCUCUAAAAUUUCAAUUUUCCUCCUGAUAGCUGCACGGAGUCGCAUGAUGCAAGCUUCAUACUCUACUAUAUUAUUGGUACAGAAGAAAUUCAAUCUGGCAGUAAGCGGGUAAUGGUCCCCUUUAGGUGACACUAAGACUGCUCCGAUUCCAUGCCCCAAUGCAUUUGAUGCACCAUCGAAGCUCAUCUUCCAUGAUUUCUCUUUUGAUGACUCACCCUCUUUUUCUGAAAUGCACAUCAAGUCUUCAUCUGGGAAAUUAAAUCUCAAAGGCUCGUAUUCUUCUGCUAUUCGACUUGCCAAGAAGUCAGCUAUUGCGCUUCCCUUUAUUGACUUUUGGCUCACAUAUGUAAUGUCAUACUCAGUCAGUAGGAUCUGCCAUCGUGCCAUUCUUCCUGAGAGUGCCAGUGACUCCAUCAUGUACUUUAUUGGGUCUAUUUUCGAAAUUAACCAUGUCGUAUGAUACAACAUGUAUUGUCUGAGCCUUCGAACCGUCCAAAUCAACGCACAACAAAUUUUUUCAAUUGGAGGGUACUUUGCUUCAUACUCUGUGAACUUUUUGCUGAGGUAGUAAAUUGCCUUUUCUCUUUUCCCCGACUCAUCAGGUUGUCCCAGAACGUAACCCAUUGAGUUUUCAAACAUGGUCAGGUACAAUAUUAAGGGUUUUCCAGAGGUCGACGGUACUAGUACCGGAGGAUUAGAUAGAUACUGUUUUAUCUUGUCGAAGGCCACUUGGCACUCCUCGUUCCAUUCUCCCGAAUUAUGUUUUCGAAGGAGUCAAAAAAUUGGGUCACACUGAUUGGUAAGUUGGGCAAUGGAUCGAGCAAUGUAAUUCAACCUUCCUAAAUAUCCUCUAACUUCCUUUUGUGUGCGCGGGGGAGGCAAUUAUUGUAUAGUUUUUAUCUUAUCUGGAUCAACCUCGAUACUUCUCUCACCGAUAAUGAAACCUAGCAGUUUUCCUAAAGUAGCCCCAAACGUACAUUUGGCCGGGUUAAGCUUCAACUGAAACUUUCUUAACCUUUUGAACAGCUUCUUGAGAUUACCAACAUGCUCUUUUUCUUCCCGAGAUUUGGCAAUCAUAUCAUCGACAUAAACUUUUAUUUCUUUGUGCAUCAUAUCAUGGAACAACUUUACCAUAGCUCUAUGAUAUGUUACCCCAGCAUUCUUUAAUCCGAACGGCAUUACCUUAUAGCAGAAGGUUCCCCACAUUGUUAUGAAUGUAGUUUUCUCCAUGUCCUCGGGAGCCAUCUUUAUCUGGUUAUAACUUGAGAAGCCAUCCAUGAAAGAAAAUAGAGAAUGCUUUGUCGUAUUAUCCACCAAAGCGUCGAUGUGUGGUAAAGGAAAGUUAUCCUUAGGGCUUGCUUGAUUCAGAUCACGAUAAUCCACGUACAUUCACACUUUGCCAUCUUUCUUCGGCACUGGGACUAUAUUAGCUACCCAUUCUGGAUACUUGGAGACUUGUAGGAAGCCAGCGUCAAAUUGUUUCUUGACUUCUUCUUUUAUCUUCAACAGCAUUUCAGGUCUCAUCCUUCUUAGCUUUUGUUGAACAGGUUUGCAUUCUGGUUUCAGUGGGAGCUUAUGGACCACAAUAUAUGUGUUCAAACCUGGCAUAUCCUGAUAAGUCCAGGCAAACACAUCAUUGUUCUCAUGGAGCAAGGCGAUCAAAUCCCACCUGAUGUUUUCUGAAAUGGAAAUCCCAAUCUUCACUUCUUGUUUCUUUUCUCCACUCCCCAAGUUCACUGUCUCAACAGAUUCUUGAUGGGGUAAAAUCUGUUUCUCUUAUUGUUCAACCAUUCUCAGUAAGUUAGAAGGCGGGACAUAAUUUUCAGCAUCUUCCUCGGCUUUGAAUUCUCCUAAACAAAUAACCUUCUCGAAAUUAAUUUUAGGACUUGUAACGGGAUUGUUCAUGCCGUGGAUAUCUGAGCACCUGAAAGGUGAAUGGGAAAGAAAACUAUGGAGGAGUAUCAAAGUAUUGGAAUCAACACACACAAUGAGAUACAUGGAGAGAAAGGAUAUGAAGCGAUGGGGGUAAUUAUGAAACUAAUAGAAAUGAAAAGAUCAUGACAAAAUGCAUCUUCAUUAAUGUUCAUUGAAAUGAUAAAGAGAAAACAUAAGCUCUUACAAAAGGAAUCCCACUAUUUAGGGGCACACAAAAUAAAUGGAGAAGUAACAUUGGGCAUUACUCUGGAGAGGACUUAGAAAUUACAAGAAGGUCCACAACAGUCCAAUUGUUCAAAACAUAUCCUGGAGGACAGGGGUGUAUCAUUGAAACAUCCUCACUCUCGUUGAGCUCAGCAUCCAUAGUUCUAGCUCUUAAAUGCGUUCUGUAAGGAUGACGUGAUUCCAGACUUGUAGUGUCACAACUGUGGAUUAUGCGGUUCUAGCCUUAGUGAAUGGUUAGGGUGAUAUGUACAUGCAAUGCAUGAAUGAAUAAAUGAAUGAAUGAAUGACAAGUGAAUGUUAGUCAUGAAUAAAUAUACAAGAAUUUGGUGUUGAUUUCAAGAUAGCCCCAUAUUUUGGCAUUUCAUUAAUCAAAAGAGCCCAUUACAAAAUAAUUUUCCAUUUUAGACUUAACAGUUACACAAAUUCUCUAGCCACAUCGCCUUAUUUCUUUAUACGUUUUAGGAACUCCAAUAUGCUUGACCUUUGGUUUGGAGGGUAUUGACAACUGAGAACUUCAGCUUCAUCAGAUAAUUGCACUAUUUGCACAGCCGCCUUGCGAAUUUCAUUGAUCAAACUGCCAAAAUGCAUGUCCUUUUCUUGGAGGGCUCUCUCGUAGGCAUGAAUGUCUCUGUCAUGGUGACCAUUCUUCCCUUCCAGAGCUCUUAGGAGGUCAUCCAAAUGUUGCUGAUGAGCCUGUAGUGUACUUUCUAGACUUCAGAUUUUUCCUUUUAGCUCAUGACGCUCAGACUGACUAGCCGCUAAUUCUGCAGACACAGUUUCGUAUUCAACAUUUUUCUUCCUCAACUCUAUCAUAGCACGUGCAGCUCUUUCCUUAUCCUUCUUCGCUUUGGCUUUCCAGAAUUCCAUCCCACCUUUGAUAUUACUUAAUUCCUCCUUCCAUUCUACCGAUGAUUUGCCUAAUCCACUAUUCCUUAUAGUGCCUCUUAAUUUCUUAUUUUCCAAAUAAAGGUCUCUUAAAUCCUUUCUCGUGACCUCAACUUCUUUUUGGACCUUUUCAGUUCUGAAUUUUUCAAUUUGAAUGUCAAUCUUCAGCUGGUAGUUUUCCUCUUGAAGAGAACUAAUAUCUCGUAAUAGUUUAGCUUUUUCAUGUUCAAAUUCAUGUCUUGCCAAUUCUAGCUCGGACAGUAUUUCCUUUGAGAACGGAUUCUGGUAAGCAACGCCAAUCAGCAAAGUUAGUUGACUCUUCAGUCGUCGUUGCCUCCACAUGUCAUAAUAUACAGUGAUAGUAUCAGCAUAGAGGGCCAACUCCAUUGGGUAGAUUUUCCUCCAAGAAUUCGCGGUAUCUCGCACCAUUUUCAUGUAACCCUCACCCGUAAAGGCAAACUUCGAUUGUGCCAAUCCAUCAGUAACCGGUACAAACUGUCACGAAGUGAAUUGUCUCUAAACCAUCAACGUUGCAUAUCCAACUCCUCCCCAUAAUCCUAGCAAAGACACCUAGUCUUGGUUCUCACACUUGUAUAACAAGACAGAAGGACAAAUCCAAGGUGCUCUCCAAGUUAUAUCUUCAGCACAGAGGUUCUGAAACCGAGACCCAGUGUUGUUCAGUGACAUCCCUUGGCCAAUCCUUUUCAAUGUGUGCUUCUAACAGAGCGAAUGUUUUUGAGAACAUAUGGAAUGGUGUGCGCUCCACUUUCCAAAAGUGGCUAAAAAUCCAAACAUUAAGUAACUGAGCGCAUCCGAUAAAACACCCUUCCCCUUUCUUCCUACAAGCAUUUAGGGAUCUAAAAGUCUCGGCUAAUAUGGUUGGGACAGGGUUGAUUCCUUGCUUUAACUUUUCAAAGAAAUCCACUACCGCGACUUCAAUGUGCCCGAGAACCUUUGGGAAUAUGACUAGUCCAUAAAUAGCCAAGACAAACAGAUCUACUUUUUUCAUAACAUCUGGAUGAUUCUGAACUAACUCCCGAAGAGAAAACCAUGGAACACAACUGACUUCAUUCUUCUUCUUUAUCUAUUUUUCAGCCCAUGUAUCUGUCAUCCCCGUCAACUUCAUUAACUUAUUCUUGAAGGUCAUUAGUUUAGGCUCCUUCACAUAUAUCUUAUUGAAUUGUACAUCGUCGAUGCGAAGCAGGGCAACAUACUCUUCUAUAGUCGGAGUCAUAUCUUCUUGAUUGAAAGUGAAACAUUGAUAGGCUGGGUCCCAGAAUCGAACCAUGGCUUGAAUCAACUGCUCGUUCACAUUGAUUGCUAUCAAGUGAGGUAUAUCCCUAUAUUUUUCAGUGAAAAUGUCUCUAGUAUCUGAGUCUCACUGCUUCCAAAUCCUAGUCAAGUCUUCAAGAUCAUUCUGACGCACAUUCGAGGUCAUACGCUCGGGAAGAUCAGAAGUGUAUCCUUCCUUUAAACUGUCCCCUUUCAUUUUUUGAGUCCUCAAAGACAAAUCUUAAACUACAACAUUUUUCUCGGUUACUCGUGCAAUUGACUCCUCCAUCAGAAACCCGUUUUUGGCAACCAAUCUCUAAUCAACACCUUUCUAAUAAAAUGUCUAUGAUCAUGAUGAAAAACAAAAUGAAGACAAAUAAACUUAGGUUAGGGAUCACAACAGAUAUAAACAGAAGGGAAAAAAAAGAAAAUAAAGACGAUGGAAAAUUUAACAAAUUAAGCUAUCCAAUCAUGCAAUUUGGAGGAACAAACCCGCAUCAUUUUUUUUGCCUUAACAUGCUUUACAAAAUAAACUUACCCCACAUGAUAAUCUGCCCGAUCCAAUUUAUUAAACAGACUCAAUUCAUCUGCAGAUAAGUGUAAAAGAAAUAAAAGGUAAGAGACGUUUCUUCCGUGUACUUAUUUUGUAGACUAUUCAACGGAUAGAGGUUCGGCAUGGCUCUGAUUGGGUGGCUCAUAUGGUUCACUAUAUAUGGUUUCGAUUCUAGAGACGCACUCGAAUUGUCCAUACUGUCACCUACUAAAGUUAGUACGGAGCCUCGGUUAUCACCCGUCAUGGGCUUGCGAGCUCAAUUCGAGGGAUUACAUUUACUUAUGCUUAUGCGGAGAGACGAGUUAACUCACGAAAGCAUAAGUCAUAUGUAACCCGAAAGUAAUUCACUAGCCUGUGCGGAGGGACGAGUUAACUCACGAAGGCGUAGCGUUUACUUCCAUUUAAACGGAUGGAGCCCGAGUAGAGAGCUUAUGUUAUGCAAGAAUGCAAGUGCACGGUGUGUGGGGAGAAACUCACAAACCUUUUAUUUUUUAUUUUUCUAAAAAAAAACAAACUAAAAAAAAUCGUAAAACUUAGAGCUGAAAAAAAACAGAAAAAUAAAACAAGUUAGAAAAAUAUUAAUGCAAAUGCAUGACAUUUCAAAAAUAAAAUUCAAGGAUCAUGAUUAAAAAUUAAUUUGAACAAUGGAUUUUUUAAAAAUUUAACAACACGCAUUUAACAUCAGACUCGACUCUCAAAAAAAUUCCCCAGUAGAGUCGCCAGCUGUAGCGGCCUAAAAUUUUGGGCUCGGGCGCUAGUCGAAGUAAUUAUUGAAAACUUGAAAACAGUAUCUCGAUUUUAUUUGAAAAAGGAGUCGCCACCGAUCUUUUUUUCUAGGUGUGAUCGGACAACUAACAAAUUCUCUUUUUUUAAAAGAAAAAUUAUUUUUCAAAAUUUUCUAAAAAAGAGGUAAUUUUAGGUCUACGUGAAAAUCAAGAGAAAAUUAGAGUUCGGGAGUCGGUUACGUGCGAGGAAGGUAUUAGCACCCUCGCGACGCCCAAAAUUGGUAUCUCGUUAAACGCAUGUUGUCUUAAUUUUCAAAAAAUACGAAUUCAAUUUAAUAUUUACUCGUGAUCCGAUUGAAACAUGAGAAUUUUUUUUAAAAAAAAGAGAAAUUUGAAACACGAUUUUUUUUAAAAAAACACGAAAAUUUUUGAAUCACGAGAAUUUUUGAAAACCCGAAAAUUUUUGGAAACACGAAGAUUUUUGAAACACGACAAUUUUUGAAACACAAGAAAUUUUUUUUAAAGUGCAAAAUUUUUUAAAACACUGAAAUUUGUGAAACACGAGAAUUGUUGAAAACACGAAAAUUUUUGAAAAUAUGAAAAUAUUUGAAAACGCGAAAAUUUUUGAAACACAAAAAUUUUUAGAAAACACGAAAACUUUUUGAAUCACUAGAAUUUUGAAAACACGUAAAUUUUUGAAACACCGGAAUUUUUGAAAACAUGUUGAGUUUUUUUUUACACAAAAUUUUCGAUUUUUUUAUUAAGCACGUAUUAUAUUUAACACGAACCGGUGAUAUUCAUUCAACAUAGCAAUGAAAUCAACGAAUUAGUGUCAAACCGUUUCGUUGCCUUAUUUUUUGAAAACGCGAAUAUAUAUUUUUUAUGACACGAGAAAAAAAAUUUUGAAGACAUAAAAAUUUUGAAACACAAGAAUUUUUUUUGAAAACACGAAAUUUUUUGAAUAUUUUUUUAUUUUUAAAAGGGCGUAUCGAGUUUAAUGCAAACCGGUGAAAUUCACCCAGCAUAGCGAUGAAAUUAACGAUUUAAUGUGAAAUCGAUUCGUUGCCUUAUUUAUUAAAAUUAUUUAAAAUAAAAUAAAAUUGAAAUUAAAUUAAAUUAAAAAUAUAAAUACAAAAAUAUAAAAAUACAUAAAGUACUAAUAAUAUAAAAAUACGAGUAUUAAAUUAAAAGCGAAAUAAACGAAAUUACCGAAAAUGUCCAAAACACGAGCUUGGUCGAACGGGUUACGCAAAUUGAAACCUUUUCUCUUUUUUCUUCUUCUUUUUUUUUUCUUUCUUUCUCUUCUUUUUCUUUUUUGGCCUGUUGGGCCUGCACACCUGCUGGCUGCUGUUGGGCUGCCUGCGCACUGGGCCUGGCUGCUGGACUGGUGCGUUGGGCUUUGGGUUGCUUCUUUUCCCUUUUUUUUCUGCUUUGUUUGUUUUUUUUUCUGGGCUGCUUUGGGCUGCUGGGCUGCUACUGUGGCCUGCUAAUCUGCUGGUGCUGUCGGGCCGGGUCACGGGUCAUACGGGUCGGUUCGGGUCGGACCGACCCGACUAUUAAAAAUAAUUUUUCUGUUCAUUUUUCUUCUUCUUUCUUCUUCCUCUUUUCUUCUUUCUUCUUUCUUCUUUCUUUCUUUCUUCUUUUUUUCUUUCUUUCUUUUUCUCUUCUCCUUCGUUCAACCCCCGACGGCGCUUCCCCCCAGCUUGGUGUGGCGGUUGACGGCGGGGCGCGGUGGAGCACUCCUCUUCUCCUCCCCUUUUCUGAAAAGAAAGCUCUCUUUUUUCUUUAUUUUUUCUUCCAAAAUUUUUUUUCGUUCGAGCCUUCCCCAUUUUAGGGGUAAAACACGCCUUUUAUAAUUUAUUUUUGCUUCAUUUUGCAGGUGGUAGGUGGCUAGGGGAGAGGGAGGUCAUGCCCUAGGCCGGUGGCUGGAAAUCACAGGGGUAGGUGUGCAAGUUGCUGCCAGAAGGACUAAACUGCAAUUGCAGCAAAAAUUUUGGGGCCAAAGUGUAAUUUUGAGAAAAUUUAGGGGUCAAAAUAUAAUUUUGAAACAGAAGUAAGGUAAAACGGUAAGUGUUGAAACAGAAAAUAAAAGAAAUGUAGCCGCUGUGGGUCUUAUGGAAUUAGUAUGAUUUAACGAUGAUGGGGUGUUAUGGUGCUUUGGAAUCAUCGUUUUUUUUAAGAUGAUUUGAUUUGGUGAAAGGGAGAGGGCCCGAUGUGGGUAUUUGGUUGCAUCUUUAUUGUUGUACAAAAAUCUUGCUAGUUGGAGGAUCAACUUUCCUUUUAAUUUUAAUAAAAAUUAUAUAUGAACUUGUGAACUUGUAUUGAGUCGCUCUUGCAAGUCAAUGCAGCAACCAAGAACCAUAUUAUUAAUACCCAGCUAAGAUCGUGGACAUUUUCUACUCUAUAUCUUUCUCCUAAAUGCUUCAUUCCAGUAAAAGUGCUGCAAUUCCUACGGCAAUGGCACCUCUGCCGAUAAUUACAUGGAAACACUCCCAAAUUAAUCUCUUUCUGGAAGCGUCCUCCCCAUUAGCAGGUUUCUCCAGUCUGAGAUAUGCAUUCAUUGGUUGCACAGAGGCAAAAACUAUGGCAGCAAUACCAAGCUUAACAUGUAACGAGCUGACAUAGAAACCCCGAAGUUCGGCAACUGCAAAAAGAACAUCAAGUAGGAUAAUUGCUAAUCCUGAAUAUUGUAGGUAAAUAUGAAUUUGGUACCAUCCAUCACCCUUUACAUGUUUUAGGUAUCUAAACACAUAUAAUUAAAUAUAAAGUAUAUAUUAUAAAAACGUACAAAAUAUAAUUAUUUAUAUAUAUUUAUCUAAAUAAUAUUAUAUGUGCUUAUAUUUAAUUAUAAUGAUAAGGCUCAAAUAUGGAUUUAGCCCCUCAAACUUGACACCUCCUCCCAUGUUGGUACUUAUGAUUUUUUUGUCCCAAGUUGGUACCUAAAUUUUCAUUCCCUCAAGGGUUUUGUUACAAUAUUAAAUAUAGGACACAUGACACUCUUAGGAUGCCAUAAUCUAUUUUUUUUAUAAAAAUAUAAUAAAAAAUUUAAAAGAAACUAUAUGAAAUUUAUAUAUUUUUUAAAAUAUAAAAGAAAUUAUAAAUUAUAAAAAUACAUGUAACUAAAAAAUUAAAAAUAUUACAAAAAAAAUCUAAAAUUCAAGUUGGAAAAAUCGAAAACCUAGAAAAUUUACACAUUUUUCUAAAUGAAUUGCAAAUAAAUUAGAUGAACAUAAAUUUUAUAAUAAAUUUUAUACUUAGAGAUGGGUGCAAAUUAUUACACGAUUUUUCAAGUUAAUAAGAAUGCAAAAGAUGAUGACUUGAAAAUGGCUUACAAGAAGCUUUUUUGUUUUCCUUUUUUGUUAAUUAUUUGCUAGGUGAUGGGAAAAUUUGGGUUCCUAUUGAAAAUGCUAUAAAAACCACAAGUUUACUAAGUUGCGGGGGUUUUGAGCUUUUGGGUUUAUCAAAAUCACACACACAUAUAAAUUUGUCAGCAUUUAGUUAUAUGUGUUUAAAUAUAAUUAUUUUUUAUAUUUAAUUAUAUGUGUUUGAAAAUAAAGUUGAUAGAAUUUGUAAAUACGGAGUGUGAAAUUUAUUGAAUUAUUUAGAAUAAGAAUCAAAUUGAUAGAAUGUGUAAGUAUUAAGAAAUAAACGUAUUAUUAUGCCAGUUGGAAAAGGCAACAUCAUCACUUCCGUUAACUAUUUAACGGAGAGUGAUCAAAAUAGAAAUAAUCUUAAGUGUGAGUGACCAAAAUAGAAAUAAUAUAAAUGUAAGUGACUAAAUUAAAAAAAUUCAUAGUUGGGUGACUAAUUCUAUAGUUUACCCAAGAUGGUAGGAGCAAUUAGGAUUAAUUCCACCAAACAUCUCAAACUAUUACUCAUAUUUUAAAUUGAACCCUAAACUUGUACACAUUCUAAUUAAAUUACUCAAAUAGAAUGUGAUAAUGUGUUAUGCUAUUAUUCAUCGAUAGUGCAUAGAACUUAUGCACCAACAAUGCAUCAAAUAUUAUCAUUAAAAGAAAAUGUAUAAAAUAAGUUUUAUACCAUCUAUAAUUUGUAAAAAAAAAAAUUCAAUAAAAAAUAUAAAAAUACAUCUAUAAUUUCACAAAAAGAAUUACAUAUCUAUAAUAUCUUUUUAUAAAUUCAAUUCCAAAUCUCCUGUAAUAAAUCAACCUCACAAAUCUGAUUGAGGUUAAAAAGAAAGAAUGCAUGUAUUGUGCAAUUAAAACCAUGAUCCAUAUUCAAUUCUAAAGUAUUGAACAUCUAAUUUUGCAUUAUUUUACCUCCCUUGAUUCUUCACAAACUCUUUGGAAUAAAUUAACCAUCUAUUCCUUAUUUCAAUUUUAUUAAAAAGCUAGGUUCCCAUAAAGACAGUCUUUACAAACUAGUGCACCUACCGUAAACACAUCAGGGAACAUUGCCAUGAGAGAGGACCUAAGAAAACAUAAUACAAACUACAUAACAUACAAUCAAGCACCUACACAAAAUGUUUAUUAAACAGCUACAGAAAAAGGCCUGCAUACCACCAAGCAAUGAAGUUUUCUGUUCUAAUCAACGUUCUCUACCUUUUUGCAAAUCUUUGUCGGACUCGCUCCACGAUCCUAAUCAACCACCAUGGUUUUCCAGUCGUGAAUACAAUGUAUGCCAUGCUCAUUCCCAGCACCAACCCACAUCCAUACCCCAUCAAUAUUGAAAAUUUCCAAUUCAAUUCAUCACCAUCAUCAUCUCUAUCAAAUUUCGCUGGAGUUUCCUCAUCAGUACCACAGUUUUUUGAUAAUGGAAAACCACAUAAAUCCGAAUUUCCCAUGUAGGAAUCUUUAGUAAAAGUAUCAAAUUGUUUGCCUUGAGGAAUGGGUCCCUUGAGACUAUUUUGAGAAAGGUUUAACACCUCUAAGAAUCCAAGAUUUUUUAACUCUGUUGGAAUUCUUCCUUCCAGCUUAUUUGAUGAGAGAUCUAAUGAUUCAAGCUCUGACAAAUUACCUAAAGAUGAUGGGAUAGGACCUAUUAAACAGUUAUGGGAGAGGUUUAGGACAAGAAGUAAAUGAAGCUCACCAAGUAUUUUUGGAAUUUCUCCCCUAAAUUGGUUACUAGAAAGGUCAAUAACCGUCCAAAUGGAUAAUAGUGAUUCAAACUUUAUUUCCAGCCCUUUUGCUGUAACAGAUAAACCAGAAGCAUAAUCCACCCAAAAUACACCAAAUGCAUCUUUCGUGGGCUUUACUUCUCUCAUGUAAUUUGGUUCAACAU
rnacentral:lncRNA from 1 species